CGUCGUGCUCGGCUCCGGUCAGUUCAUGUCGAGCAUCCCUUGGUGGAAGGCGGCGACGCGGUCGGGCGUCACGCACUGGGUGAUGAGCCGCGCCCCUGGCUUGUGCGCCCACGGCUUCACCAGUAUGCACGUCGCGAUGUAGUCCAGGUUCGUGAGCGGCACGACGUGCGCCGGCGGCCCCCAGCCGUAGUCCACCUCGGCGAACCCGAGCCGCGUCCAGUCCGACACCAGCAGCGUCCGGUAGUCCGACGUGAUCUGGUACGGGUCGACGCCGCCGUCGGCCCCGGCCUCCCCGGUCGCCCACCGCCCGAACUCCGACGGCAUCCGCCUCUUCCCGUCCUUGAUGAUCUUCACCACUUCGGGGAUCGUGGAACCGGACACCUUGCCCGCAGGCGCCGAGACGCGCAUGAUGUAGUAGCAGUUGCCAUAGAACCCGGCGCCGGCGCGCGGGAGCGCGGCGUGCAGGAGGGGCCGGGCGUUCAUGGCGAAGCAGAGGUGGACGGUGGAGUCCGGCUCGAAGCCCGCCGCGCGGGUGCGGCUCUGCCACGCCUUGGCCACCAGCACCUCGAACGCCGAGCACCAGGAGCCGGCGUGCUCCGUGUUAUACUGGCUCUUGAAGUGGUUGAUGUAGUCCGCGGAGAUGUCCAUGGCGAGGUACUCGAGCCGCUUGGCGCCGGCGGGGCUGGGCAGGCUGCCGAUGACAGCGUCGGCCGGGUCGGGGAUGGCCUCGCGGCCCCACUGCGGCUCCACGGUCAAGCCCUCCACGGCGCGGCCGCGGGCGAGCUCCCCGACGGCGGCCAUGAACUGCGCGGCGCCGGGGCCGUCGGCGACGGCGUGGCUGAAGCGGAAGCCGACGACGAAGCCGCCGCAGGCGAAGGAGGUGACCUGGACGAGCAGGACGAGCUUCCGCGGGUCCUCCUCCUGGGCGGGCGUGGGCGGGAGCAGCUCAUCCUUGGCGAUCAUCAUGGGGUGGUCCAGGUACUCCACGUCCUCGAGCGCGCAGCCGGCGACGGCCUCGGUGAACCAGACGCCGCUGCCGUCGCCGCCGCAGUCGACCUGCAGCAGCCCGCCUCCCUCCGUGAACCCCAGGCGGCCGGCGAGGGGAUAAUACUGCACCAAAGCCUGCGCCAGUGCCCGCUCGAUGGUGCACGCGGGGCCGGCAUCGCCGGCGUCCCGGUGAAGAGCCGGCUUGAAGACGUGCAGCGACUCGAUGAGGGCCAUCUGGGUGGGGUAGCGGUCGAGCCAGGAGAGGCGGAGCGGGCCGGCCGGGGUGGGCUCGGCCGGGGUCACGAGGCGCUGCGCCAGCCGCUGGACGGACUUGGCGGCCGCCAUGGGUGGGUCGGAGGCAGGAAUGUUGCAAUGGGGAUUGGGCAGGAGCUGGCGAGAGGAAGAGUGGGUGGUGGGUGGCCGGAGCGGAAGAAAGCGCGUCGUAUUCAAUUCAACCGGUUGGUGCCUGGCUGGCUGGCUGCUGGUUGCUUUGACUUGGCAGGGGAGGGGGAAGCGCGUCGUAUUUAUAGGAGCGACGUGCGUGGCCGAAGUGUCUGUAGCGGUGGUGACGAGGAUGGGAGUCGGCGAGUGAAUGCGAGAAGCUGUCCGGGGUGGGAUUUUUUUCUUUUCUUUCGAUGAAGAAUGUCCGGGAUGAUAUUUUUGCGGGGCUGGGUGGGGUGGGGUGGGGUGGGGGAGCGGCGCGGCGCUUUCCUGGCGCUAUCCACUGGCAGCCUCGUGUUCCGUAGGAUAGGCAGGCUACAGCACGCGCCAGCGGUCGACCAGCAAUUAUCAUGGCACGGACGGGAGCAUCAGUUCCAUCGUCAUCGUGGAGUGCUAGCUGGUAAUGCAUCUCUGUCAGUACAGUGCUACACUAGCACGUACUCGUGCAUGUUGCAUUUGGACAUGUUAAUACUAACUGACAAUGGAAUGAACUAACUAAUCUGUUCAUUAAUCCCGCCACGGUUAGAGCAAGUACAAUAAAGUACAGUGGGUGGCUGUAAAGAUUAAAGUACUAUAUUUUUAUUGAGUUGAAUGAGAGAAAAGAGAAGAGAGAACAAAAGAGGGGCUCUUCAUUAAGAGUUAGGUCUAAUACGUGCUUCUAGGUGCUUUGUCAGAAUAAAAGGUGAGCUACAUAUAAUAAAAAUAGUACUUUUUUAUAACUAACUAAAAUACAAACUAGCUACUGUAAAAUAGACUACAAGAUGGCCUAUAUCCAACAGUUGGCUAUAUUAUUCACCAUGCUUUUAGUGUCAGCAAACGCCGGUUUAACUAAAGGUGCUGGGAGCAUAGGCUACCUGGCUCCAUCCACUUGCGGCUUCGUGUAGCACACGGCUAGCACGCAUCCGUUAAUCAGCGUGACACGGACUCCAACAACAACCUGCCCUUUUCAGCUUCAUAUUAGACCCAGUACAAUAAGGUACAGUCAGUAGGCUGUAAGAAUUAAAAUACUAUAUUUUUACUGAGUUGGAUGAGAAAAGAGGAGAGAGAAAGGAAGCCGGCUCUUCGUGAAGAGUCAGCUCUAGCACGUGCUCCUAGGUGCUUUGUGAGAAUGAAAGAUGGGUCAUAUAUGAUAAAAGUAGUACUCUUUUAAGCUAACUAUUGUACAAGUUAGCUAUAAGAUGGGCUAUAAGACUGCUUAUAGCCAGCAGUUGGCUAUACUAUUAACCAUGCUCUUAAAACAACUCCAACAGAUGCGCAACGACGUAGGCGCGUUAAAAAAAUUACAGCGUUGAAAUUUAUUUUUUACAUGUGGCAGGAUGCUCACUUCAACAGAUGCGGUAAAAUUAGAUGUGAUGCUGAUGUUUCGAUAGGCGCAUUAAAUAUGAAGUGUGUGCACUUAGUACAAACCAUAUUUCUCAUUUUUUUAAUAAAAAAAAUACAAAAACAAAAAAUAAAUCAAGCGACAAUAAAAUAGUUCAUAAGCAUACUUUAACUUAACGAUACACUAAAUAGACUAGAUAAAUAAACAACAUAGAUUAAAUAAAUAAACUAGAUAGAUAAGUACUCCUCCUCCUCCUCGCUACUCCUCACACUCAACGGUGGUGUAGUCCGUCGUUCAUGCUAGCGAUCAUCAUCACUGCUCCAUGUCAACGCCUGUCCCAGGUCGCACUGAGCUACCGUUGCAGCCUUCUGCUCAAGCAUGUUCGUCCGCUCUGCGGCUAGCACCGUCCUCUGUCGCGUUCAGAACUCACGCUCGUCGAGAACUUCCUACGGAAAGCGUUGACGGCACACCUUCAUGGCAUGCCCGUCCGUCUCGACGAUGAGGAGGCGGCGCUCCCGCCUCUGAUUGAUGUGGCGGUCCUCCGCGGUGAUUAGCCGUGGGAGAGGCACGCGGGACUGCAUCUCCUCGCGCGUCCAAACUUCCAGAAAAUUCAUCUGUGACCGCGGCCUAGCAAGCCACCACGCCGCCGCAUCGUACGCGCGGGUGGCCUCUUGGGCAGUCUCAAACGUCCACCAAAGCGCAUCUCCAAAUAAAACACGUCGGACGGGAAGGCACGGACGCCGGAAUAGCCGGAACUGCCCCGACGGCGGCGGGGGAGGGGGAGAGGUCGGCGUGGCCUGGGGGUGGAAUUUUACGGACGAGCGUGUGUGGUUUUUAUAGGGUGCGCUGGACGACGUCGCGCGUCAAAACUGUCCCGUGCGUUGCCGUUUUUCACGCGUACGUUGUUUUGUUUUGCGUAUCAGUUUUUCCCGCGUCCGCUAUAGCACGAAAACCGCCCGACGCGCAAAACAUGACGAUUUCUCCUAAGUGCGCCAUAUUUACCGCAUCGGUUGGAGAUGUUCUCAGUACAUGUUGUAUUCGCAAGUCUUUGGACUGAUAACAUGCGUGCCUGAAAUAUCAAGCUGUCUAUUCAGUUUAUGACCAACUAGCAAAAGAGCCCGUGCGUUGCAACGGGUAAGAAAAACACUCACUAAUCUAACAAUCAUGAGUCCAUAGGCCCAUGUCCUUUAUUUCGUCACAUGACAUCCCAUCUGUAUUUCUAUUUACCCUUCUUUCCACGCUCGUCGACGUUGGGCUUAGUGUUCACACCGCCACAACAUGUUUGAAUGUUGUCAAUCAUAAGAUGUCUCCCUCUCGACAAAAAAUGAUAUAUUUUUUCUGUGAGGUUUUGACGAGGCAUGCAUGCGUGAUUAUAGAUAUUGUUUUUGUUCUUCAUCCUAGUAUAUGUAUGUAUAUACAUAUAACCAUUUGCCAGCAUUACCUUCAGCGUUGCUCUCAUGUCAUCCCACAUGCCAUUCCUGCAAAAAGCAUGCAGCAAGAUCGUGUAGGUCGCUACGUUUGGAACAGAACCCUUAUCCUCCAUCUGUCUAAGGAACUGCAUGGCCGAACCAAGCCUCCCAAGCUUGCAAACCCAUGUAUCAAUAUCUUGUAAGUGUGUGCGUCUGGUGGGCAGCCUUUUGAUCCCAUUAUCUCAUACAGCUCCGUUGCCUCUGUUAGCUUCCCAUCCAAAAGACAUCCGCCAAUCACCGUGUUAAAUAACACAACAUUCAACUCCGGCACCCUCCCGAGCAUUGUGCGUGCCUCAUCCACCUGCCUUGCUUGGCACAUGCCCUGGAUAAGGAACCUGUAUGUCAUGGUGUUUGGCAGGCAGCCCUUUAUCAUCAUCCUGUCCACAAGCCUCACAGCCUCACGGAGACGCCCAAGCAUGCAUAGCCCGUGUACAAUGUUAUUGAACGUGUUGACAUCAGCAGAGCACCCCAUGAGGAACAUCUCGUCGAGGAGCAUGGUAGCCUCGGCGACCUCACCCUGCUCACACAGGGCGUGGAUGACCGUCUGAUAGAGCACCACGUCAGGCACACACCCAUGCCCUGCCAUGCUGCGGAGCAUCGCGAGCGCCUCAUCAGCGCGUCCGAGGCGGCAGAGUGCGCGCGCAGCGACACCGAAGGUAAAGGUGGUGGGUGGGAUGCGAUCCCUGUGGACCAUACGGCGGUAGAGCGCGAGCACAUUGGCAUGGAAGUUCGCCCUGGCCAAUGCCGCGAGGACGGUGUUGUACGAGCGAAAGGACGGCGAGACGGCGAAGCGGCUGGGCAACUGGUCGAGCAGGUGGAGGACGCGGCCAGGGGGCAGGGAGCGCAGCAACGGUAUGAGGUGGGUCUCCCGGAGAGGAGGGCAGCGUGUGGAGGGGAGGGGUUCAAGGAGGGAGAGCGCGCGCUCUGGGUCCGCGUCGGCUGUGGCGAGCAAGGGGCGGAGGGGGAGCGACGAGAGGACGGGGUGGGAGGCGGCGUACCACUGGAGGAGGAGGAGGAGGGAGGUGGUCGGGGACAGAGGCAGCGCGAGGAGGCGCCCGAGACGUUGCGGGGUGAGCGGGCGGGAGGAAAGCGUGCAUCAGAGGCGAGAGAGGUCGAACGACGCGAGCAGCUNNNNNNNNNNNNNNNNNNNNNNNNNNNNNNNNNNNNNNNNNNNNNNNNNNNNNNNNNNNNNNNNNNNNNNNNNNNNNNNNNNNNNNNNNNNNNNNNNNNNNNNNNNNNNNNNNNNNNNNNNNNNNNNNNNNNNNNNNNNNNNNNNNNNNNNNNNNNNNNNNNNNNNNNNNNNNNNNNNNNNNNNNNNNNNNNNNNNNNNNNNNNNNNNNNNNNNNNNNNNNNNNNNNNNNNNNNNNNNNNNNNNNNNNNNNNNNNNNNNNNNNNNNNNNNNNNNNNNNNNNNNNNNNNNNNNNNNCAUUCCACGGUGAAAAACCACGCGAUGCUCCCUCCAGCUCAGGCACGCGACGGCAACGCACCCGGUCCAUGCACGGACGCGGUCCAGACCGGGCGCGUGCUCCGUUUAACUAAGCAACUGACCGCUCCGAUCCCCUUGGCGUGGACGAGAGCGCGAGCUAGUGGCAGAUUAACCAACUGCUUAAUUACCUAAUCGACAACGACGGUGACGCCGGGGGCCUUCGAUCCACAAAAAGUAACGAUGAUGGAUGGAUGGCGAUGGCGAUCGACUAUUCUCAGACGAGGACGGACCGACGGAUGGGCGAGAGGGACACGAAAACGGAACGCGCGUGAGACAGAGACUACCCAAAGCAAAACAAAAGAAUUGUUAUUAUAGAAGGUGCUCCACUGCAGUCCAGUGGCUUGGUUUGGUGCCUGGCCUUUUGGGGUCGACACAUAUAAUUUUCUGCGAGCCACAUUUUCCUCGAGUUCUCACCUCGUUGCCCUCUGUAGGAAGAGUCAUUCGAAUCGAAAGCGUUAAAGCGGCAACGGCGCGUUUAUUUAGGAUACUCCGACCGAACACUAUACACACAUGCAUGCAGAUCGCUUUCCGAUAAAACUAAAUUAAUAGUAAGAGGGGGUAAAGAGAAGAUACACAUGCUCGUAGUAGGUUUUUACAUGCGCGCGCUUAGCUAGUUUAUCAUUAGAUUAAAGCCAAAGUGUGGAUGAUUGCAUUCGCCACUUCGCCAGCCGUCGCGUUUACGCAUCUGCUUCAUGUGUUGAUGAGAAAAAGAAACAUGCACUGAACUUGUAUAAUGUCACGCCUGUUGUGGUGUUGUAAUUUGUAAAGCAGCCAUUGAGCAAGUUGGAUGGGCAUUUUGUCUGUUUGCUGGGAUCCGGCUGCUAGCUCGCCACUCACAAGCGCACCAAACCAAGCCACUCCAACCAGGAAGUGCAUCAACUUCAACUACAAUGCUGCUACUUUAGUUGGCGAGAGUUUCAGUGUCUCGCACGUAUUCUUUUCCAUGAUAAACUAGUAUACGACUUGUCUCUCUCGUUGAGCUGUCCACCAUUAACUAGUAGUCUUAGGGAGACCUCCAACCCCGAUUCCAUCAAAUAAUUGGGGUACAUAUUGAGAUGGCACGGCGAACCGACAGAAUACCCGUUCUAGAAUACGGUCAGGACAACGCUAGAAAAUUGAAGAUAUUGUUUUCUGGCUUUCUGCAGUUGAGCGAUUAUUCUUGUUGAAACUGACUUCAAACUAAUAUAAAGUGAGUUGUUCCGUCGUAGAGAUGCACAUGGGUAGGCUACUCAUCAAUAUUUUCAAGUGUUUUGAUCUUUGUUUCUUCUAGACUACAUCCUGGUAUGUGCAUCAUUGUUAUGAGAGUUACCCAAUGAGGUGAUAGCGCCAUCAAUGCGGCUUAGUUUAAGUUACAGCCGACAAGCUAAUUCACAAGCCUAGUGCUUGUGGAGCGUUGAUCUCAGUUGCAGUCAGUGGCUGAGGUUGGCUCCUUUGUUGAAGGGACUUGAAGAAAACCAUAGCUACUCCUCUCCGGGUGUGCUUGCCAUUUGUGAGAUUGUGGAUGUAAAUGGUGGAAGCGUUCCUACCUCACAUAGGAGUGUAUGUGCGUUUACUUAUACGUGACAAUGAAUGCCCUUGUUAGAGCAUCUCUAGCAAACGCUGUAUAAUGAUCAAACCCGUAAAAAACGACCUGCUUACACUUUCGAUCGGAAAAACAGCGUGGAGCAGACCCCAUAAAACUUGUUCGAUCCGUAAACUUUUUAAAAGGCACGGUAAAUUCGUCCGCCAAAACCUUAUAUGUGCAGUUUUGUAGGCACUGUACAGUUUAACUCGUAAACUGGUCAAACCUCGUCGAAGCAGACGUGCCGCCAUGGAACUGGCCGGAAUCUAUCUGAAACUCAUCGGAAUUCGUGGCAGUAUGUCGGAAGAAGCCGCCGCACGCUGGAAUUUGCCGCCGCCGGUCCGAAUUGCGGCCAGCUUGACCUCCACUCUCGAGGCGAGGCCGUCCACGAGCAGGGCAGAGCAGGCCACCGGCGGCCCGAAUUAGGGCGGGGCGGCAUUGGGGAAGAGCGAGGCAGGGGUGGGGGAACUUGCGCGGACACAUCGGGAAACGUGCGUGCGGCGGUGGGCAUUGUCGGGCUCAAAUCGGGGACGGGCGGGCGCGCCAGAGAAUGCACGGUCGGGGCGGGCGGCGCAGGGCUCCGCCACUCCAUGCGUGGCCCGGAACAGACGACGCAGGGACGAGGUGGGGGCGAGCCGGGGUGCCAGGGUGAGGCACGCCGUGGCCGGAGACGGCUUCCUGGGACAGGACGAAAAAAGAAAAAUAUGAGCUACAGUAGGAUACAAUUUCAUUUAUGGGGUGUGCUCUGUCUCGGGCAAUUUCGCACCGUAAAAACAGUUUACAGCGCCCCUUACACGUGUUUUUAAGGGUCGACUUUUGUAGAGAUGCUCUUAGAGAAUCUACAGCCGGACCCCUCAAAUGCCCGCACAUGCGCCUGGGAACGUCCGCGGACACUUACCGGUCACGCCUCAAAUAAUGCAGUCUAUAUCCGGAUACCACAAAUUAGAAACCUCAAAUCCAUACUAUUACAUGCAACGAAAACCUAAUACUAAGCGGAGCUCGUGUGGCUCCGCUGUGUCCAUGUUCGGUGGCUUGCUGCGCCCCUUAUAGUGUCGGUUCACUCGCCGACGAGGUAGAGUAGGACAUGGGACACAAGCCGUCUCAUGGGAGUCGAGCUCCCAACGUCUCCCAUGCCACAAUCUUCCUCGUUGGAGCCCGUAAUAAGGACGGUGCUAGUCGACAUGAGGUCGAUGACAGAUCUUUCCUGGAAGGAGCCGACGUCCACCACGACGAUGUUGCGUCGACCGCAGUGCUGCACCCUACGGGGCGCCAGAGAGUGUGACUCCGCCUCUCUAACAUCCGUCACCGCGAGGGCCACCACUGCACCCCGUGCCCGCUGCCUCGCCCGGCGGGCACGCACGCCAUGACAUCGUUCGAGGUCGGCCAUGCUUCAUGCUCGGCGUGCCAACGAANGUAGAUGCGGGCCAAUGCGGGCCAGGAGGGCGUACUUAGGAUCCCCAUAUCCGCCCCAUAUUUGGGCUGGAAAUGCGGGGUGCCAGUUAGCUCGGACGUUUGAGGCCGGUUUGAGAGGCCUGUCUGGAUCGAAUUUUUGUGACCGUGCACUCACCGAGAGGUCUGCCCGGGCGUUUGAGGAGGGUUUGAGUGGUCUGGGUGUAGAUGCUCUUACGGUAUGCAAAUUAGGAUGACUGCCACAUACGUGCACCCCACUUUUUCUAGGGCUAAAUUUUAUUAUUAGCAACCAAGGCAAUAUACAGACAAUCAUUUCCCUUUGUUGGAUGAUGAGAUGGAUAAAACAUUGUUGGAUGUUCUUGUUGAUCAUCACAAUAGAGGUGAUCAUGCCCAAAAUGGGUGGAAGCCGCAUGUCUAUAAUGCUGCUAUAAAAGCGAUACGUGAUAAGUGUGGACUCGACAUCACAACAAAGGAGAAAAUAUGUUCAAGGAUGAAGACUUUUGAUAAGCAUUAUGAAGUAAUUAGCAAGAUUCUUUCUCAGAGUGGAUUUGGUUGAUAUUGGGCCAAUAAUAAGCUACUCAUGGAUAGUGAUGAUGUGUGGGACAAAUAUGUGAAGGUAAAAAAGAAUGUUCAUUUUUUAUUGUACUAUGUUAUAUGCCAGGACCUAAUUUACUAUGUAUGUGUGAGCAGGCUAAUGACAAAGCAACUUGUUACAAGAACAAGGAAGUGAAGAAUUGGGAGGCAAUAUGCACGAUAUACUCGAAAGAUCAUGUAACCGGUGAAGGUGCAAUGACUGGUGCUGAAACUGAAGUGCCACCGAUUGUACCACAUGUAGUAGCCACCGAAGCCUCGCCAGAAUUGCCCCCCAAAAGGAUGCGAACAUGUGAAGCUAUCUUGUGCAUGCUUGGAGACAUGAAAGGUACUUUCCAAGAUGCAAUGAAGUCACUUGAGCCACUAGAACUGCCCAUGGUUAAUCCUCCACUUGUAAUCCUUGUUGCCCUCGAAAUGAUACCAUAUUUGGCUCGUCCACACACACUACGAGCAUAUGGUAAACUCAUCCUUGGUGAACGCUUAUUCGAAGCGCUUAUGCAAUUGCCCAUUGACUUUAGAAAGGAAUGGUUGUUGAUGUUGAACGAGAAUAAUGGUGUUUGAUUGCUUCCAAGCGCUUGGAGAUGCUUUUUAGCAUUUGGGCUACAUUGUGGCCUUCGUUUCCUUCAUGUAAUAGCUAUGAACUUAUGGUACUAAUUAUUAGUAUGUUAUGGUAAUGAUGGAAGAAAAAUGUAUGAGACAUGAUUUACUAUGUUAUGUGUUGCUGUUUUCGUAUAAUUGUUGUUGUUUUAAGUGCUAUUGUUUGUGUACAAGUGUUGCUGCAUACAUGAUAUUCAUGUAUAACUUUGUGUGUGUAAAGUGCUGCUAUUGUACUCUGUAUAUAUAAUUAUUUAGAAAAAAUGCUCGCAUAUAUUGCAUAUAAUUUAAUUGUGAGCAUUACGUCAAAGUACAAUGGUCAUUCUAUGAUAAAUGAGUAAUCCCAAAUUCCAAUGUAGAGAAUGACCAUUCAAACAACCUUCAGAAUUGAGCCUCUCAUGCGAAUUCUAAGUGUCAAUCCUUUGCACAUCCAAACAAUAGAAUUCGGGUUCAAUGUCAAUAUCAAAGUCUGGGAGAUUUGAUAUUGGGUCCAAUUCAAUUCCAUGGUCCUGAAUAUCAACAUACAAACAAGGCAUUAGGGAAAGAGAUUUCCUCCAAGCCCAAUAUGGAAUUAGAGUCCUAGACUUUGUUGCAUAAUAAGUUUAAUCGAGAGGAGGAUCUACAAUAGAAAGCUCUCUUAGCAAAAGAAUGAUGUACAAGAUUUUUGAUGUGAGGAACAUGCUCAACUGUGUAUUGCAAUAGAUUAGGAGUAAGGUUAGAAAUCCGCUAGCGUCCGUGUUAUUUUCCAAUCACGUGAUUUUUGAAUUAAAUCUUUGGCUUCAGUUGCAUUCAUCAAGUUCCUACAAUCAGAUAGAAAAUAAACUUUAUUCCACUUCAUGCCUUGACAAAUGUAGCCAAGAGAAGUAAUCCAAGAGCUUCCGCAUGCAAGAUAGAUGAGUGUUUGUGGUUGCAGCUUGAAUGAACAUUGAAUGUAUCAUUUACUAAUUCUGAAGGAAAACUCCAAACGAUGCUUCAUUGGGCGCCACCAUCGAGUUGUACGUUGCAGAUGGUGUUGUAUGUUGCAUCGACAUAGGCUAGAAAACCUGCAUUUUGGAUAAACAAAACUAUACUUGGAACACUAUUGGUGUUGUCACCAACAAUUGUAUUUUCUUCCUCCUUUUCCUCCAUUGAACCCGCAAUAAGCAUACCUUCCGUGGCAUGGAUGAAUUGCAUAUUGCUCCAUUUUUUCCUUAUUAAAGUGAAGAUAAUUUCUUUGUUUCCAUAUGUUCCAUAGAAUGGUGAAAAUAGGUUCUAACUUAGGAUUUGGGUGUUGAACAUUCAAGAUUGUUUGAAUGAUAUCAACCGUAUAAGAAGAAGUGUUCGACAUAUCAGCUCUUAAGCCAUAUGUAUACCAAACAGAUCUAGAAAAAUCACAUUGAAAGAAGAGAUGUAAGUCAGUCUACUUGACCAUAUCUACAACAUUUUUUUAAUAUAUUUACAAUAUCUCGAAGUUUUAAAGUCUCAUGCUACAACUCUCCUAAUUAAUCUCCAUGCAAAAAAUUUAAUUGUGGGAACUAUAUUUUUACAUUUCCUAACCUGGUUGAGGACAUGAACUUCCUGGUCCGAAACAAAGGCUCUACUCCCUAUAGAGCCAUCCAGGAUUACCUGCAUAAGAGCUCUAUAAGCGCUUUUUGUAGUACAAUCUGCAUUGGGUGUGUGAGACCAACAUAUAGUAUCCUUAAGGUUAGCAUUCAUAAUACUAAAUUCAAAAUGCUUUUGAAAGAACCAUCAAAAUAAGCACUUAUCUUCUCUUCAUCCCAAACUUUGGAAUUUCGCUUCAAAUGUCCCAAAUAAUACUAGGACAAGGACCUUCUGCAUUAGAAUUGACGUGAUUAUGAAUAUUCCCCCAAUCUUUACACUAAGGACUAGUACAAAUACAAGAGUUGCCAUUGGCGAUUUGAAUUUGACUAUUCAUAAGCUUGAAAAGGAGAAUCUUAAUGUAAAAAGCCGAAAUGUUGAUUUAGGAGCAUUAUAGUUGGGUUUCCAUAUGUAACAAUUGUGAAAAUAUUUGUCCUUGAGCAUUUUUGCAAUGAAAAAAUUAUGAUUUUUAAUAAUUCCAAGCCAUCAUAGCCACCAUGGACUUAUUCAUAAUAUCCAGAUCUCUGAUUCCUAAUCCACCCUUAUGCAUAAUUUUUGGAGUCGGUUUACUUAUUUUAUCACAUAGCUAUUCCCUUUUCAGGAUUCUGGUGUAAUUUGAAAGGUUUCUUCGAUGUGCUCUUCCGGUGUAGUUACUUGAAUAACGUAUGGAUCAAUGUUAAUGGGAUUACCUGUAAUAUAAUGUUUAAUUGUUUGUCCAUUAACCACCUACAAGUUGUGUCAUUUGGUGUUAUUGAUCUUGAUGGCUUUGGAAUGGUAAACUUCUUCAACGAUAUAUGGUCCUUCCCACUUAGUGAGAAGUUUACCUACAAAAUAUCUUUAACGAGACUUGUACAAAGAAUUGGAAGAUCAUGGUGCCCCCAUGUUUGGUUUUGGUAAUUGAUGACAAUCCCUAUGGACCAGUGGUUGUCUUGAGUUAUAUUUGAAGGGUUUAUCCAAAUGCAUUACUUGAAGACCAUUUGUUGGUUUCAAGGUUAUUAGAAGAAGAUUAUGUGUUGACCAAGGGGCUAUUCAUGGAGCUAUCCAAAGAUUGAUCAUGUUAGUGUUGACCCUUUUGCAACCAUGUCUUGAAGAAGAAGAUUGUGUGAACAUUCAUGUUUACCUUCAAGACAUCAUCAUUAUGAAGAGAGAAGAUUUCAUACAAGUUUGAUCAAGACUAAAGGUAAGAGUGGAUUCAAGUUGAUCAAUACACACAUCAUAGAACACUACUAGGGUAAGCCCUAGAAAUAGCACAUGUCAAAAUACUAGCAAUAGCGCGGGCAGACGUGCUACUGCUAUGACGCUACAACUAACUUUUAGCAGUAGCGUCGGUUGCCCAAUGCUAUUGAUAACUAAGAUAGCAGUAGUGUUCUUUUAUAACCAACCCUACUACUAAUCAGGCAUAUUUAUUUUUUAUAUAUUUAUAUUGUAUUUACACACGGCUAUACAUAUUAAUAUAUAACAUCAAUAAUAAUUGUGCAAGAAACAACAUUUAUAUUGAAGUGGAUGGGUGCAAGUGAUUAGGUUGGGUUAGUAGGAAAAUUUGAUGUUACGACGGCAUACAAGUGUCAAAUGGAAGGAUUCCCUUUAUUCGACACUUGCGUGUCGUUGUAACAUCAUAUUUUCCUACUAACCCAACUUAUUCACUUGCACCCAUCCACUUUAAUGUAAUCCAUGUCAGCUAAUAGCUCAUCAUCCUUAGUAACACAACAACUUAUAUAUCAUCAUCUUAAUCAUCUAACAACUCAUGACAAGUUGACCAAUACUACAGAAUGUCAUAAACCAUAAAAUGUCCUCUCUCUUAGCUAGCACAUACUAUUCUCUCCUAGGUAGAACCUACUACUCUAUCCUAGGUAAAGUAGCAUAAAAUAGGUAAGCUCCUUCCACUCCAUUGUGGAGAAUAGAGAUCCACCCAUCUCUCACAUGUUGUGUGUGCAAAUCUUUCGCGUCCCUGUCAAGUGGUUGUGUGCGGUCUUCCAUUACUUUGCUAAAUCCUUUGAGUUUUAAGCUUGCAUACCUUCUAGAAAUCGAGUAUGCAUUGCGGAAACAUGUAGGCCAUGAUCAUAAGUUGAUAACAUUCAAAUAAUGACCCUUUACAAAUAUAAGUUCAUGCACAACCUCUGGCUAGAAUUUUUGUUAAAGAACAUAAUAAUAACAUUGUUAGCAAUUUAAUUUACCUUAAGAAAAAUCUAUGUAUGCAAAAGAUGGAAUAAUUAAUGACACAAUAGAAAAAAUAAUAUCACCAUGCUAUCUACAUGGAAGUUACUGUGGUUCAACUCAUGCACUAGUGGCACAUAUUCUGAAUAACUUCCCCCAAUAUAUUUAUAAUUGAUCUUAAAAUUACCAACAUUACAAAUAAAUGAGAUCAGAUGAUUUUUCUCCAACCAAGUUAGAUCGGAGCCAGGACUGUAAUAGGUCCGGUCUACUAUUUUUGAGUUUUUUUAAGAAACAAAAUAAGCUAUCAAUUGAAAAUAAACAAGUGAAGUAGGGAUGAAAACCAACUAUAUUUGAAUAAACAAUGCAAAUUACUUCGGAUAUAUGGUUGACAAACUCACAUAGAGGUAAAACUGGAAGCAUAUCGACAUCCACCAGAAUGUCGAUAUUACCUUCUAUAUCAUCUUCACGACGAAUAUCGAAGGUUAUUUCCAUAUCCUCCUCAAAUCCACAUGCCUUGCUUAGAGCUUCCAAAUUUGAGCAACCAAAAUGCGAGUGAUUAACUGCACUGUAUAGUUUAGCCCAAAAUGUGAAACCAUGUUUAGUCCUCAACUGAACUCUCCUCGUCUCCAUAUUCUCCAUUUCUUGGAAACCGAGCUUCUCCAAGACAUACCGUCUUGCAUGGAAAGGGAUGCACUAGUUGAACUGUAAAAACGGAAAUUACACGUUGAAGAAAAGAAACACAAAGUCAUGAUUAAUGAAGAAGAAAUUGUUGUCAUCGUUGCGUACCGUAAAAACAUCAAAGGUCUCUUCAAGCUUGAUGGUGAAGAACCUUCCGUUUCACAGGUGAGGCUCAUCGCAUAGACCACACUCUUCGCCGCAUAAAUCACACUCAGGGAUCCCCUCGUCGUCAGACAUUUUCUAUGUCCAUGAUUCAAACAUUAAAAAUCGACGACAAUUAUACGAGAAAGUGUUCAACAUGGGUUGAGUUUUGGUUUCUCGAGACUUUUCUUGAAAAACUCUCACAUGUCAUGGUGUAUAUGGUGCACACUCUGUGACCCUGACAUGGUGGUGUAUGUUGGUGGACACUCGCUCACACUAAUAUUGCGACCGUUGGUGAUGGUCGCUCCUCCCUUUGUUCUUGCAUGCAUUACUAAAAUCUCUAGCACAAGGAACAAAGGAGGAAGCGACCCCAUGACAAUAGUCAGGAUUCUUCCUCUAAUAUUUCAACUGUCGGUGCUCGUUUCUUCCUCUUCUUCUCUCGCGCAUUAUACCAAGGUAUAUAUCUCGAGAAGAAGAAGAGUGAAACGACCCCCAUGACAACAGUUGGGAUGCUUCCUUUGAUAUUUUGAUCGUUGGUGUUGGUCGCUUCCUCUUCCUCUCUCGCGCAUUAUACCAAGGUAUUUAUUGCGAGAGGUCCCAUUGUAAAAUGGGUGCCUCUAAGCAAGAAUUAAAAUUUGUGUAGGUUGCCUUCUCCGGUGCAGUUAAGUGGGUGAUUGAUGGUGGAUGCACCAAUCAUAUGACCUGAGAUGGCGCAUUGGUCAUGGACUUUAUGGAAGCUAUUUGACCAUUUAUGAGCAUUGUAUUUGGUGGAGGGUCUAAAGGACAUGUACUUGGUUUAGGCAUGGUGCCUAUCACCAAUGACAUGUCCAUUGAAAAUUUCAUGCUUGUCCAAUCCCUUAAAUAUUAUUUACUUUUUAUUCGUCAGUUGGCUUCCAUUGGUUAAUAUACACUAUUUGGACUAACGGAUGUGAAAGUAUUUAAGAGAUAUACUCUUGAAGUUUCCUUUGUGGGGGAGUUGGAUGGCAACCUUUACGUGAUUGAUUUCUCAAAAGAGAUCACAUUCCAUGCAACUUUCCUCAUGACCAAUACCGACAAGGGGUGGCUAUGGCAUCCCCGGCUAGCCCAUGUCGGCAUGAGAAAUCUUCAAGAUCACUUAAAGGGUUAGCACAUCCUUGGACUAACCAAUGCAUCUUUUGAGAAAGAUCGUCUGUGUAGUGCAUGCAUAGCCAAGAAGCAACAUCAAUCAAAGCAUCCACCCAAGAAUAUCAUGUCAACCUCAAGAAGAUUGGAGCUCCUUCAUGUGGACCUGUUUGGGCGUCCUUCAUGGGAUAGUCUGGGUGGAAAGAAGUACAUACUUAUUAUUGCUGAUGAUUACUCAAGAUAGUCAUGGGUGUUCUUCCUCAAGUACAAGGACGAGAGGAAGAUCACCUUCAUUGAUUUCACCAAGCAAGCUCAACACAAGUUUGACAAAGAAAUCUUGGCAAUAAGGAGUGACAAUGGCUCUGAAUUCAAGAACUACACCUUGGAAAAGUUUCUUAGUGGUGAAGGAAUUGAACAUCAAUACUCUGCACCAUAUACCCCACAAUAAAAUGGGGUACCAAGAGGAAGAUCACACACUUGUUGGAAUGGACAGGUCCAUGUUGGAUGAGUACAAGUCACCACAUAGUUUCUGGGACGAGGUUGUCAACACCGCAUGCCAUGCAUCAAAUCGUCUCUUCCUUCGCAAGCUAUCGUCACCAUGGGUGUAGGUGCUCUUCCAAUGAAAUAUGUCCCACAUGAAGGUGAAGAUGAGGACACAAGCACCAGUCAUAAUCAAACUACUACUACACCAACAUCAACACAAGAUUCCAUCACUCAAGAGGGUCCCAUAAUUCAAGAACAAGAACUAGAACAAGAGCAAUAUUCUACACAAGAGCAAGAUCAUCAUCAAGGACAAAAACAAGAAAGCACACAUGUUGAUGAUGAUGAACCUUAUGAUGAAGGUGAACCUCAACAAAUGAUGCAUGAAAAAGAAGAGCCUCCACCACACAUUAACAAUCCAUAUGUUGAAGAUGUUGAUGAUGGAAAUGAAGUUGAACCAAGUGAAACAAUAACCUCCAGCAUGUCUCGAGUGUUCGGUCGUGUCGACAUUGACAAAAUUCCAAGCAACCAAUCAGAAGGUAGAGUUACUCGUAAACAAUUGAAAAACUUUCAUGCUCACUUUUUGUUUGUGUCUAGUAUUGAGCCCCUGAGGGUCCAAGAAGUAUUAGUGGAUGUUGAUUAUCUUGUGGCCAUGCAAGAAGAGUUCAAUAGUUUUGAAUGCAAGAACGUGUGGACAUUGGUUAAAAGGCCAACCAAAGAGCAAAAUGUGAUUGGAACAAAAUGGAUCUUCAAGAACAUUAUGGCAGUUCCAUAGCCAUUCCGAGAUAUAUUGCCAUGCAACUUCCACCGUUCCGUUUUUUAUGACACACACCAUCUCUUCCAUAUUGCAUAUAGAGUCGUAUUUUGUUCUAGGUAUCGAGUUGUAAGUAAAUAAAAGUGUGAUGAUUUGCAUUAUUAAACCAUUGUCCCGUGAGAGAAAAGGUUGAUGGAAGCUAUGACUCCCUCACGAGUUGGGAUGAGUCUCAGGACUUUACAAAAAAAAGAGGCCAAAGAUGCCCACCAAAACAAAAUGAAAGAAAGAGAGAAGGGAGAAUGCUACUAUAUUUUUCCACACUUGUGCUUCAAAGUAGCACCAUGAUCUUCAUGAUAGAGAGUCUCCUAUUUUGUCACUUUCAUAUAACUAGUGGAAUUUUUCAUCUCAUGCAGAACCACCUAGUUUUCUUUUUGAGCUUACAUACACUUAUAGCUCUAGUGCAUUCGUUGCAUGGCAAUCCCUACUCACUCACAUUGAUAUCUAUUGAUGGGCAUCUCCCUAGCCCGUUGAUACGCCUAGUUGAUGUGAGACUAUCUUCUCCUUUUUCAUUCCAACCUCCACCAUAUUCUUUUCCACCUAUAGUGCUAUAUUCAUGGCUCACGCUCAUGUAUUGCACGAGAGUUGAAAAGGUUUGUGAUACGUAUCCAUCGUAUCUACUUUUCCAAACUCUUUUGCCCUUGUUUUGAACUCUAAUUUGCAUGAUUUGAAUGGAACUAACCCGGACUGACGUUUUCAGCAGAAUUGCCAUAGUGUUGUUUUUGUGCAGAAAUGAAAGUUCUCGGAACGUCCUGAAAAUUUACGAAGAAUUUUUCUGGAAAAUAUGAAAAAUACCUGUGCAAAGAUCCACCGGAGGGGAUGGGCCAGUGGGCCACAAGCCCUGUUGCCGCGGCCUCCCCCCUGGCCGCGGCAACCAAGCUUGUGGGGCCCACAUGGCUCUGCCGCCCCCAAACUCAGCAAUAUAAAUUCACUUUCACCCAGAAAAAAAUCAGAAGAGAAGAUUUCGUCGCGUUUGCGAUACGGAGGCGCCACCACAUCCUGUUCUUCAUCUGGAGGACAGAUCUGGAGUCCGUUUUGGGCUCCGGAGAGGGGAAAUUGUCGCCAUCGUCAUCAUUAACCUUCUUCCCUCUCCAAUUCCAUGAAGCUCUUCAUCGUUCCUGAGUAAUCUAUUCGUAGGCUCGCUGGGCGGUGAUGAGUAGGAUGAGAUCUAUCAUGUAAUCGAGUUAGUUUUGACGGGGAUUGAUCCCUAGUAUCCACUAUGUUCUGAGAUUGAUGUUGCUACUACUUUGUCAUGCUUAAUGCUUGUCACUAGGGCCCGAGUGCCAUGAUUUUAGAUCUGAAAUUAUUAUGUUGUCACCAAUAUAUGUGUGUUUUAGAUCCGAGCUUGCAAGUUGUAGUUAGCUACUAUGUGUUAUGAUCCGACAACCCCGGAGUGACAAUAACCGGAACCACUCCCGGUGAUGUCCGUAGUUUGAGGAGUUCAUGUGUUCACCAAGUGCUAAUGCGUUGUUCCGGUUCUUUAUUAAAAGGAGAACCUUAAUAUCCUGUAGUAUCCUUUUGGACCCCGGUGCCACGGGAGGGAUGGACAAUAGAUGUCAUGCAAGUUAUUUUCCCUAAGCACGUAUGACUACACACGGAAUGCAUGCCUACAUCACAUUGACGAACGGGAGCUAGCCACAUAUCUCUCCGUGUUAUAACUGUUGCAUGAUGAAUAUCAUCCAAACAAAUCACCGACCCAUUGCCUACGAGUUUGUCCCACUGCUGCUGUUACUUGUUUUGUUCUGCCGCUGUUACUUGUUUUGCUCUGCUGCUGUUACUACUAUCGCUUGCUAUUGCUGUUACUUGCUACUGCUGUCACUAUUGUUGUUCCUUGCCACUGCUAUUACUCGUUACACUGCUGCUACCUGCUACAAUUCUGGUUCGCUCGUCGUUGACGGGAAAAGACAAUUUCUGUCAACGGGCAACUUCUAGCGCCAUUGAUACGACAGUUAGGAAUAGUCUGCAAUCAACAGAUCGUUUCUGACACUGUUGUUAUCAUACUACUUUUCCGUUGAUACUUUGCUUGCAGAUACUAAUCUUUCAGGUGUGGUUGAAUCUGAUACAUUCAGCUGCUAAUACUCGAGAAUAUUCUCUCACCUCCUACCUGGCGAAUCAACAAAUUUGGGUCGAAUACUCUACCCUCGAAAACUGGUGCGAACCCACACGCUGGUGGGCCAUUGCAAGACAAUUGCUAAUUGUUGAGCAACUCGGAGUGCUAGGAGCAUUCUUUUGGCGGCGUUGCCGGAGAAGGUCUGUUGUCACAGUAGCAACAUUUUUCUGGGGCCGUUGCCGGGGAGGUAUUGCUAUAUUCUCUGAGUCACUUGGGAUUCAUAUCUGCUGAUCACUAUGAAGAAGCUGAAUGAUCCAAAAACCAAAGUCUUGCCCUCAACUACGAGGGGAGGUAAGGAACUGCCAUCUAGCUCUGCACUUGAUUCACCUUCAGUUAUGAGUAAGUUUGCGACAUCACCUCCUGCUAGAAAUCUUGAUAUGUCGCCUGUGCUUGAUGAUGCUUAUGAUGCUACUGUUGGAAUUAUGCCCUAGAGGCAAUAAUAAAUAUAGUUAUUAUUAUAAUUCCUGUAUCAAGAUAAUCGUUUAUUAUCCAUGCUAUAAUUGUAUUGAAUGAAGACUCAUUUACAUAUGUGGAUACAUAGACAAAACACCGUCCCUAGCAAGCCUCUAGUUGGCUAGCGAGUUGAUCAAAGAUAGUCAGUGUCUUCUGAUUAUGAACAAAGUGUUGUUGCUUGAUAACUGGAUCACGUCAUUAGGAGAAUCACGUGAUGGACUAGACCCAAACUAAUAGACGUAGCAUGUUGAUCGUGUCAUUUUGUUGCUACUGUUUUCUGCGUGUCAAGUAUUUAUUCCUAUGACCAUGAGAUCAUAUAACUCACUGACACCGGAGGAAUGCUUUGUGUGUAUCAAACGUCGCAACGUAACUGGGUGACUAUAAAGAUGCUCUACAGGUAUCUCCGAAGGUGUUAGUUGAGUUAGUAUGGAUCAAGACUGGGAUUUGUCACUCCGUGUGACGGAGAGGUAUCUCGGGGCCCACUCGGUAAUACAACAUCACACACAAGCCUUGCAAGCAAUGUAACUUAGUGUAAGUUGCGGGAUCUUGUAUUACGGAACGAGUAAAGAGACUUGCCGGUAAACGAGAUUGAAAUAGGUAUACGGAUACUGACGAUCGAAUCUCGGGCAAGUAACAUACCGAAGGACAAAGGGAAUGACAUACGGGAUUAUAUGAAUCCUUGGCACUGAGGUUCAAACGAUAAGAUCUUCGUAGAAUAUGUAGGAUCCAAUAUGGGCAUCCAGGUCCCGCUAUUGUAUAUUGACCGAGGAGUCUCUCGGGUCAUGUCUACAUAGUUCUCGAACCCGCAGGGUCUGCACACUUAAGGUUCGACGUUGUUUUAUGCGUAUUUGAGUUAUAUGGUUGGUUACCGAAUGUUGUUCGGAGUCCCGGAUGAGAUCACGGAUGUCACGAGGGUUUCCGGAAUGGUCCGGAAACGAAUAUUGAUAUAUAGGAUGACCUCAUUUGAUUACCGGAAGGUUUUCGGAGUUACCGGGAAUGUACCGGGAAUGACGAAUGGGUUCCGGGAGUUCACCGGGGGGGGGGGGUCAACCCACCCUGGGGAAGCCCAUAGGCCUUGAGGGUGGCACACCAGCCCUUAGUGGGCUGGUGGGACAGCCCAAGAGGGCCCUAUGUGCCUAGAGAAUAAAAUCAAGGAGAAAAAAAAAGAGGAGGUGGGAAGGGAAGGAAGGACUCCCUCCCACCAAACCCAAGUCCAACUCGGUUUGGGGGGGGGGGAACCUUCCCCCUUGGACUCGGCCGACCCCCUUGGGGCUCCUUGAGACCCAAGGCAAGGUCCCCUCCCUCCCACCUAUAUAUACGGAGGUUUUAGGGCUGAUUUGAGACGACUUUUCCACGGCAGCCCGACCACAUACCUCCACGGUUUUUCCUCUAGAUCGCGUUUCUGCGGAGCUCGGGCGGAGCCCUGCUGAGACAAGGUCAUCACCAACCUCCGGAGCGCCGUCACGCUGCCGGAGAACUCUUCUACCUCUCCGUCUCUCUUGCUGGAUCAAGAAGGCCGAGAUCAUCGUCGAGCUGUACGUGUGCUGAACGCGGAGGUGCCGUCCGUUCGGUACUAGAUCAUGGGACUGAUCGCGGGAUUGUUCGCGGGGCGGAUCGAGGGACGUGAGGGCGUUCCACUACAUCAACCGCGUUCACUAACGCUUCUACUGUACGGUCUACAAGGGUACGUAGAUCACUCAUCCCCUCUCGUAGAUGGACAUCACCAUGAUAGGUCUUCGUGCGCGUUGGAAUUUUUUUUGUUUCCCAUGCGACGUUCCCCAACAGUGGCAUCAUGAGCUAGGUUCAUGCGCAGAUGUCUUCUCGAGUAGAACACAAAAGUUUUUGUGGGCGAUGAUGUGCGUUUUGCUGCCCUCCUUAGUCUUUUCUUGAUUCCGCGGUAUUGUUGGAUUGAAGCGGCUUGGACCGACAUUACUCGUACGCUUACGAGAGACUGGUUUCAUCGUUACGAGUAACUCCGUUGCUCAAAGAUGACUGGCAAGUGUCCGUUUCUCCAACUUUAGUUGAAUCGUAUUUGACCGAGGAGGUCCUUGGAUGAGGUUAAAUAGCAACUCAUAUAUUUCCGUUGUGGUGUUUGCGUAAGUAAGAUGCGAUCCUACUAGAUACCCGUGGUCACCACGUAAAACAUGCAACAACAAAAUUAGAGGACGUCUAACUUGUUUUUGCAGGGUAUGCUUGUGAUGUGAUAUGGCCAACGAUGUGAUGUGAUAUAUUGGAUGUAUGAGAUGAUCAUGUUGUAAUAGAAAAUAUCGACUUGCACGUCGAUGGUACGGCAACCGGCAGGAGCCAUAGGGUUGUCUUUAUACUAACGUUUGUGCUUGCAGAUGCGUUUACUAUUUUGCUAGGAUGUAGCUUUAGUAGUAAUAGCAUGAGUAGCACGACAACCCCGAUGGCAACACGUUGAUGGAGAUCAUGGUGUGGCGCCGGUGACAAGAAGAUCGUGCCGGUGCUUUGGUGAUGGAGAUCAAGAAGCACGUGAUGAUGGCCAUAUCAUGUCACUUAUGAAUUGCAUGUGAUGUUAAUCCUUUUAUGCACCUUAUUUUGCUUAGAACGACGGUAGCAUUAUGAAGUGAUCUCUCACUAAAAUUUCAAGACAAAAUUGUGUUCUCCCCGACUGUGCACCGUUGCUACAGUUCGUCAUUUCGAGACACCACGUGAUGAUCGGGUGUGAUAGACUCAACGUUCACAUACAACGGGUGCAAAACAGUUGCGCACGUGGAACACUCGGGUCAAGCUUGACGAGCCUAGCAUGUGCAGACAUGGCCUCGGAACACAUGAGACCGAAAGGUCGAUCAUGAAUCAUAUAGAUGAUAUGAUUAGCAUAGGGAUGCUUACCACUGAAACUAUACUCAACUCACGUGAUGAUCGGACUUGAGCUAGUGUAAGUGGAUCAUGAACCACUCAAAUGACUAGAGAGAUGUACUUUUUGAGUGGGAGUUUAGCAAAUAAUUUGAUUAAGUUAAACUCUAAUUACCUUGAACAUAGUGUAAGUCCACUUUGAAUAUAUUUGUGUUGUAGAUCAUGGCUCACGCGACAGUCACCCUGAAUUUUAAUACGUUCCUAGAGAAAGCUAAGUUGAAAGAUGAUGGAAGCAACUUUGUAGACUGGGCUCGUAAUCUUAAGCUAAUCUUACAAGCUGGGAAGAAGGAUUAUGUCCUUAAUGCUGCGCUAGGAGAUGAACCACCCGCUACGGCUGAUCAGGAUGUUAAGAAGGCUUGGUUAGCACGUAAGGAGGACUACUCAAUAGUUCAAUGUGCAGUCUUGUAUGGCAUAGAACCGGGACUUCAACGUCGCUUUGAGCGUCAUGGAGCAUUUGAGAUGUUCCAGGAGUUGAAGUUUAUCUUUCAGAAGAACGCACGGAUCGAGAGGUAUGAGACCUCCGAUAAAUUCUAUGCUUGCAAGAUGGAGGAAAACUCGUCUGUCAGUGAACAUGUGCUCAAAAUGUCUGGGUACUCAAACCGUCUAGCUGAGCUGGGGAUUGAACUCCCGCAAGAGGCUAUCACUGACAAAAUCCUUCAAUCACUGCCGCCAAGCUAUAAAGGCUUUGUGUUGAACUACAACAUGCAAGGGAUGAACAAUUCUCCCGGCGAGUUGUUUGCGAUGCUGAAAGUCGCAGAGUCUGAACUCCGUAAAGAGCAUCAAGUGUUGAUGGUGAAUAAGACCACUAGUUUCAAGAGAAACGACAAAGGCAAGAAGGGUAAUUCGAAGAAGAGCGGCAAGCCUGUUGCCAAUCCGACGAAGAAACCCAAAGCUGGACCUAAGCCUGAAAUGAAGUGUUACUAUUGCAAGGGUAUGGGUCAGUGGAAGCACAAUUGCCCCAAGUAUCUGGCAGAUAAGAAGGCGGCCAAAGAAAAAUCAGGUAUGUUUGAUAUACAUGUUAUUGAUGUGUACUUAACCGGCUCUCGUAGUAGUGCCUGGGUAUUCGAUACCGGUUCUGUUGCUCAUAUUUGCAACUCGAAACAGGAACUGCGGAAUAGACGAAGGCUGGCGAAAGAUGAAGUGACGAUGCGCGUAGGAAAUGGUUCCAAGGUUGAUGCAAUCGCCGUCGGCACAGUUUCACUUCAGUUACCAUCAGGAUUAGUGAUGAACUUAAAUCAUUGUUAUUUAGUGCCUGCGUUGAGCAUGAACAUUAUAUCUGGAUCUUGUUUAUUGCGAGACGGUUACUCUUUUAAGUCAGAGAAUAAUGGUUGUUCUAUUUCUAUGAGUAACAUCUUUUAUGGUCAUGCACCUAAUGUGAGAGGAUUGUUCAUAUUGAAUCUUGAUAGCGAUACACAUAUACAUAACAUUGAGACCAAAAGAGUUAGAGUUAAUAACGAUAGCGCCAUAUUUUUGUGGCACUGCCGCUUAGGUCAUAUUGGUGUAAAGCGCAUGAAGAAACUCCAUGCUGAUGGACUUUUGGAGUCACUUGACUUUGAUUCACUUGACACAUGCGAACCAUGCCUCAUGGGCAAGAUGACUAAGACUCCGUUCUCCGGAACAAUGGAGCUUGCAAGUGACUUAUUGGAAAUCAUACAUACCGAUGCGUGUGGUCCGAUGAGCGUAGAGGCACGCGGCGGAUAUCGUUAUUUUCUCACCUUCACUGACGAUUUGAGUAGAUAUGGUUAUGUCUACUUGAUGAAACACAAGUCUGAAACAUUUGAAAAGUUCAAGCAAUUUCAGAGUGAAGUGGAAAAUCAUCGUAACAAGAAGAUCAAGUUCCUGCGGUCUCAUCGUGGGGGUGAAUAUCUGAGUUUUGAGUUUGGUACUCACUUAAGACAGUGUGGAAUUGUUUCACAGUUAACACCGCCUGGAACACCACAGCGUAAUGGUGUGUCCGAACGUCGUAAUCGUACUCUAUUAGAGAUGGUGCGAUCUAUGAUGUCUCUUACUGAUUUGCUGUUAUCGUUUUGGGGUUAUGCAUUAGAAACAGCUGCAUUCACUUUAAAUAGGGCACCAUCAAAAUCCGUUGAGACGACACCAUACGAACUAUGGUAUGGCAAAAGGCCAAAAUUGUUGUUUCUUAAAGUUUGGGGAUGUGAUGCUUAUGUCAAAAAGCUUCAGCCUGAAAAGCUGGAACCCAAAGCGGAAAAGUGCGUCUUCAUAGGUUACCGAAAAGAGACUGUUGGGUACACGUUCUAUCUCAAAUCCGAGGGCAAAGUGUUUGUUGCUAAAAACAGAGCUUUUCUCGAGAAGGAGUUUCUCUCGAGAGAAUUGAGUGGGAGGAAGAUAGAACUUGACGAGGUUGUCGAACCUCUCAUCCCUCUGGAUGGUGGCGCAGGGCAAGGGGAAACCUCUGUCGUUGCGACGCCGGUUGAGGAGGAAGUUAAUGAUGAUGAUCAUGAAACUCCGGUUCAAGUUUCUGUCGAACCACGCAGGUCGACGAGACCACGUGCUGCUCCAGAGUGGUACGGUAAUCCCGUCUUAUCAAUCAUGUGGUUAGACAACAAUGAACCUGCAAAUUAUGAAGAAGCAAUGGUGGGCCCAGAUUCCAACAAAUGGCUAGAAGCCAUGAAGUCCGAGACAGGAUCCAUGUAUGAGAACAAAGUGUAGACUUUGGAGGUACUACCUGAGGGCCGCAAGGCUAUUCAGAACAAAUGGAUCUUUAAGAGGAAGACGGACGCUGACGACAAUGUGACCGUUUAUAAAGCUCGACUUGUGGCAAAGGGUUUUUCACAAGUUCAAGGAGUUGACUACGAUGAGACAUUCUCACUCGUAGCGAUGCUUAAGUCCGUCAGAAUCAUGUUAGCAAUAGCUGCAUUUUUCGAUUAUGAAAUCUGGCAGAUGGAUGUCAAAACGGCGUUCCUUAACGGUUUCCUUAAGGAAGAGUUGUAUAUGAUACAACCCGAAGGUUUUGUCGAUCCUAAGAAUGCUAACAAGGUGUGCAAGCUCCAGCGAUCCAUUUAUGGACUGGUGCAAGCAUCUCGGAGUUGGAACAAACGUUUUGAUGAGGUGAUCAAAGCAUUUGGGUUUAUACAAGUGGUUGGAGAAUCUUGUAUUUACAAGAAAGUGAGUGGGAGCUCUGUGGCGUUUCUAAUAUUAUAUGUGGAUGACAUAUUGCUGAUUGGAAACAACGUGGAGUUUUUGGAGAGCAUAAAGGAUUACUUGAAUAAAAGUUUCUCUAUGAAGGACCUAGGAGAAGCUGCUUACAUUCUAGGCAUUAAGAUCUAUAGGGAUAGAUCAAAACGCCUGAUAGGAAUUUCACAAAGCACAUACCUUGAUAAAGUUUUGAAGAGGUUCAAAAUGGAACAGUCCAAGAAAGGGUUCUUGCCAGUUUUACAAGGUAAGACUUAGUGCCCAGCAACUGAUGAAGAUAGAGAGCAUAUGCGCUCCGUCCCCUAUGCUUCAGCCAUAGGUUCUAUCAUGUAUGCAAUGCUGUGCAGUAGACCGGAUGUUAGCCUGGCCAUAAGUAUGGCGGGUAGGUUCCAGAGUAAUCUAGGAGUGGAUCACUAGACAGCGGUCAAGAAUAUCCUGAAGUACCUGAAAAGGACUAAGGAGAUAUUUCUCGUGUAUGGAGGUGACGAAGAGCUCGCCGUAAAAGGUUACGUCGAUGCAAGCUUUGACACAGAUCCGGACGACUCUAAGUCGCAAACCGGAUACGUAUUUAUUCUUAAUGGGGGUGCGGUAAGCUGGUGCAGUUCUAAGCAAAGCGUCGUAGCAGAUUCUACAUGUGAAGAGGAAUACAUGGCUGCCUCGGAAGCGGCUAAGGAGGGUGUCUGGAUGAAGCAGUUCAUGACGGAUCUUGGAGUGGUGCCAAGCGCACUGAAUCCAAUAACCUUGUUCUGUGACAACACGGGUGCCAUUGCCUUAGCAAAGGAACCACGAUUUCACAAGAAGACCAGACACAUCAAACGACGCUUCAACCUCAUCCGCGACUACGUCGAGGGAGAGGACGUAAAUAUAUGCAAAGUGCACAUGGAUCUGAAUGUAGCAGACCCGCUGACUAAACCUCUUCCACGGCCAAAGCAUGAUCAACACCAGAACUGUAUGGGUGUUAGAUUUAUUACAAUGUAAUUCACAUGAUGAUGUGAGGGCUAGAUUAUUGACUCUAGUGCAAGUGGGAGACUGUUGGAAUUAUGCCCUAGAGGCAAUAAUAAAUAUAGUUAUUAUUAUAAUUCCUGUAUCAAGAUAAUCGUUUAUUAUCCAUGCUAUAAUUGUAUUGAAUGAAGACUCAUUUACAUAUGUGGAUACAUAGACAAAACACCGUCCCUAGCAAGCCUCUAGUUGGCUAGCGAGUUGAUCAAAGAUAGUCAGUGUCUUCUGAUUAUGAACAAAGUGUUGUUGCUUGAUAACUGGAUCACGUCAUUAGGAGAAUCACGUGAUGGACUAGACCCAAACUAAUAGACGUAGCAUGUUGAUCGUGUCAUUUUGUUGCUACUGUUUUCUGCGUGUCAAGUAUUUAUUCCUAUGACCAUGAGAUCAUAUAACUCACUGACACCGGAGGAAUGCUUUGUGUGUAUCAAACGUCGCAACGUAACUGGGUGACUAUAAAGAUGCUCUACAGGUAUCUCCGAAGGUGUUAGUUGAGUUAGUAUGGAUCAAGACUGGGAUUUGUCACUCCGUGUGACGGAGAGGUAUCUCGGGGCCCACUCGGUAAUACAACAUCACACACAAGCCUUGCAAGCAAUGUAACUUAGUGUAAGUUGCGGGAUCUUGUAUUACGGAACGAGUAAAGAGACUUGCCGGUAAACGAGAUUGAAAUAGGUAUACGGAUACNNNNNNNNNNNNNNNNNNNNNNNNNNNNNNNNNNNNNNNNNNNNNNNNNNNNNNNNNNNNNNNNNNNNNNNNNNNNNNNNNNNNNNNNNNNNNNNNNNNNUGUCCCACCAGCCCACUAAGGGCUGGUGUGCCACCCUCAAGGCCUAUGGGCUUCCCCAGGGUGGGUUCCCCCCGCCCCCCCCGGUGAACUCCCGGAACCCAUUCGUCAUUACCGGUACAUUCCCGGUAACUCCGAAAACCUUCCGGUAAUCAAAUGAGGUCAUCCUAUAUAUCAAUCUUCGUUUCCGGACCAUUCCGGAAACCCUCUUGACGUCCGUGAUCUCAUCCGGGACUCAGAACAACAUUCGGUAACCAACCAUAUAACUCAAAUACGCAUAAAACAACGUCGAACCUUAAGUGUGCAGACCCUGCGGGUUCGAGAACUAUGUAGACAUGACCCGAGAGACUCCUCGGUCAAUAUCCAAUAGCGGGACCUGGAUGCCCAUAUUGGAUCCUACAUAUUCUACGGAGAUCUUAUCGUUUGAACCUCAGUGCCAAGGAUUCAUAUAAUCCCGUAUGUCAUUCCCUUUGUCCUUCGGUAUGUUACUUGCCCGAGAUUCGAUCGUCAGUAUCCGUAUACCUAUUUCAAUCUCGUUUACCGGCAAGUCUCUUUACUCGUUCCGUAAUACAAGAUCCCGCAACUUACACUAAGUUACAUUGCUUGCAAGGCUUGUGUGUGAUGUUGUAUUACCGAGUGGGCCCCGAGAUACCUCUCCGUCACACGGAGUGACAAAUCCCAGUCUUGAUCCAUACUAACUCAACUAACACCUUCGGAGAUACCUGUAGAGCAUCUUUAUAGUCACCCAGUUACGUUGCGACGUUUGAUACACACAAAGCAUUCCUCCGGUGUCAGUGAGUUAUAUGAUCUCAUGGUCAUAGGAAUAAAUACUUGACACGCAGAAAACAGUAGCAACAAAAUGACACGAUCAACAUGCUACGUCUAUUAGUUUGGGUCUAGUCCAUCACGUGAUUCUCCUAAUGACGUGAUCCAGUUAUCAAGCAACACACUUNNNNNNNNNNNNNNNNNNNNNNNNNNNNNNNNNNNNNNNNNNNNNNNNNNNNNNNNNNNNNNNNNNNNNNNNNNNNNNNNNNNNNNNNNNNNNNNNNNNNGAUCUGAACAUUCACGUCACAUAAGAGGAAUUACAAAGGACACCUAUGCUAGGUAGCAUGAAAGCAUCAAAAAUUGAUUCUUAUCACUUCCCUACUCGAGGACGUUCAGGAGUUAAGCUUGGGGAUGCUUGAUAUGUCUCAAAUGUAUCUAUAAUUUUUGAUGGUUUCACGAUGUUAUCCUCUCUUCUUUGGUUGUUUUAUGUACCUUUUAUAUCUUUUUUGGGACUAACUUAUUAAUUCAGUGCCAAGUGCCAGUUCCUGUUUUUUCCGUGUUUUUGACUCUUUUCAGGUCUGAUUUUGGAACGGAGUCCAAACGGAAGAAAACCCCCGAAAUGAUUUUUUUCCCGAACGGAAGAAGAUCAGGGGGCCUUUGGGACUGGCCAGGUGGGCUCCAGGGAGCCCACAAGCCCCCACUCCGCCACCAGGGGGAGGCGGCGGUGGGCAGGCUUGUGGCCUCCCUGGCCGCCCCCUGACCUAGGUCUUUGGCCUAUAAAUUCCCAAAUAUUCCGCAAAACAUCAGGGGAGCCUCGAAAAUACUUUUCCACCGCCGCAAGCUUCCGUUUCCGCGAGAUCUCAUCUGGAGACCCUUCUCGGCGCCCUGCCGGAGGGGACUUUAGAGUUGGAGGGCUUCUUCAUCAUCAUCAUCGCCCCUCCAAUGACUCGUGAGUAGUUCACUUCGGACCUACGGGUCCGUAGUUAGUAGCUAGAUGGCUUCUUCUCUCUCUUGGAUCUUCAAUACAAAGUUCUCCAUGAUCUUCAUGGAGAUCUAUCCGAUGUAAUCUUCUUUGGCGGUGUGUUUGUCGAGAUCCGAUGAAUUGUGGAUUUGUGAUCAUAUUAUCUAUGAUAUAUAUUUGAGUCUUUGCCGAUUUCUUAUAUGCAUGAUUUGAUAUCCUUGUAAGUCUCUCCUUGUCUUGGGUUUUGUUUGGCCAACUAGAUCUAUGAUUCUUGCAAUGGGAGAAGUGCUUGGUUUUGGGUUCUGCCAUGUGGUGACCUUUCCCAGAGACAGUAGGGGCAGCAAGGCACACAUCAAGUAGUUGCCAUCNNNNNNNNNNNNNNNNNNNNNNNNNNNNNNNNNNNNNNNNNNNNNNNNNNNNNNNNNNNNNNNNNNNNNNNNNNNNNNNNNNNNNNNNNNNNNNNNNNNNACCUAUCAUGGUGAUGUCCAUCUACGAGAGGGGAUGAGUGAUCUACGUACCCUCGUAGACCGUACAGCAGAAGCGUUAGAGAACGCGGUUGAUGUAGUGGAACAUCCUCACGUCCCUCGAUCCGCCCCGCGAACAAUCCCGCGAUCAGUCCCACGAUCUAGUACCGAACGGACGGCACCUCCGCGUUCAGCACACGUACAGCUCGACGAUGAUCUCGGCCUUCUUGAUCCAGCAAGAGAGACGGAGAGGUAGAAGAGUUCUCCGGCAGCGUGACGGUGCUCCGGAGGUUGGUGAUGAUCUUGUCUCAGCAGGGCUCCGCCCGAGCUCCGCAGAAACGCGAUCUAGAGGAAAAACCGUGGAGGUAUGUGGUCGGGCUGCCGUGGCAAAAGUUGUCUCAAAUCAGCCCUAAUACCUUAGUAUAUAUAGGAGGGAGGGGGAGGGAAGAGGCAGCCUCAAACCCUCAAGGUUUGGCCGAAAUUGGAGGUGGAGGAGUCCUACUCCAAUCCUACUUGGAGCAGGAUUCCACCUUCCCACUUGGAAACUCUUUCCACCUUGUGUUUUUUCCUUCUCAAACCUUAUGGGCCUUAGUGGGAACUUAUUCUAGCCCACUAGGGGCUGGUUUAUCUCUUCCCAUAGCCCAUGAGACCCCUUGGGGCGUGACACCCCUCCCGAUGGUCCCCGGCACCCCUCCCGGCACUCCCGGUACACUACCGAUGAGCCCGAAACUUUUCCGGUGACCAAAACAGGACUUCCUAUAUAUCAAUCUUUACCUCCGGACCAUUCCGGAGCUCCUCGUGACGUCCUGGAUCUCAUCCGGGACUCCGAACAACAUUCGGUAACCAACCAUAUAACUCAAAUACGCAUAAAACAACAUCGAACCUUAAGUGUGCAGACCCUGCGGGUUCGAGAACUAUGUAGACAUGACCCGAGAGACUCCUCGGUCAAUAUCCAAUAGCGGGACCUGGAUGCCCAUAUUGGAUCCUACAUAUUCUACGAAGAUCUUAUCGUUUGAACCUCAGUGCCAAGGAUUCAUAUAAUCCCGUAUGUCAUUCCCUUUGUCCUUCGGUAUGUUACUUGCCCGAGAUUCGAUCGUCAGUAUCCGCAUACCUAUUUCAAUCUCGUUUACCGGCAAGUCUCUUUACUCGUUCCGUAAUACAAGAUCCCGUAACUUACACUAAGUCACAUUGCUUGCAAGGCUUGUGUGUGAUGUUGUAUUACCGAGUGGGCCCCGAGAUACCUCUCCGUCACACGGAGUGACAAAUCCCAGUCUCGAUCCAUACUAACUUAACGAACACCUUCGGAGAUACCUGUAGAGCAUCUUUAUAGUCACCCAGUUACGUUGCGACGUUUGAUACACACAAAGUAUUCCUCCGGUGUUAGUAAGUUAUAUGAUCUCAUGGUCAUAGGAAUAAAUACUUGACACGCAGAAAACAAUAGCAACAAAAUGACACGAUCAACAUGCUACGUCUAUUAGUUUGGGUCUAGUCCAUCACAUGAUUCUCCUAAUGAUGUGAUCCCGUUAUCAAGUGACAACACUUGCCUAUGGCCAGGAAACCUUGACCAUCUUUGAUCAACAAGCUAGUCAACUAGAGGCUUACUAGGGACAGUGUUUUGUCUAUGUAUCCACACAAGUAUUGUGUUUCCAAUCAAUACAAUUAUAGCAUGGAUAAUAAACGAUUAUCAUGAACAAAGAAAUAUAAUAAUAACUAAUUAUUAUUGCCUCUANNNNNNNNNNNNNNNNNNNNNNNNNNNNNNNNNNNNNNNNNNNNNNNNNNNNNNNNNNNNNNNNNNNNNNNNNNNNNNNNNNNNNNNNNNNNNNNNNNNNACCUAUCAUGGUGAUGUCCAUCUACGAGAGGGGAUGAGUGAUCUACGUACCCUCGUAGACCGUACAGCAGAAGCGUUAGAGAACGCGGUUGAUGUAGUGGAACGUCCUCACGUCCCUCGAUCCGCCCCGCGAACAAUCCCGCGAUCAGUCCCACGAUCUAGUACCGAACGGACGGCACCUCCGCGUUCAGCACACGUACAGCUCGACGAUGAUCUCGGCCUUCUUGAUCCAGCAAGAGAUACGGAGAGGUAGAAGAGUUCUCCGGCAGCGUGACGGUGCUCCGGAGGUUGGUGAUGAUCUUGUCUCAGCAGGGCUCCGCCCGAGCUCCGCAGAAACGCGAUCUAGAGAAAAAACCGUGGAGGUAUGUGGUCGGGCUGCCGUGGCAAAAGUUGUCUCAAAUCAGCCCUAAUACCUUAGUAUAUAUAAGAGGGAGGGGGAGGGAAGAGGCAGCCUCAAACCCUCAAGGUUUGGCCGAAAUUGGAGGUGGAGGAGUCCUACUCCAAUCCUACUUGGAGCAGGAUUCCACCUUCCCACUUGGAAACUCUUUCCACCUUGUGUUUUUCCUUCUCAAACCUUAUGGGCCUUAGUGGGAACUUAUUCUAGCCCACUAGGGGCUGGUUUAUCUCUUCCCAUAGCCCAUGAGACCCCUUGGGGCGUGACACCCCUCCCGAUGGUCCCCGGCACCCCUCCCGGCACUCCCGGUACACUGCCGAUGAGCCCGAAACUUUUCCGGUGACCAAAACAGGACUUCCUAUAUAUCAAUCUUUACCUCCGGACCAUUCCGGAGCUCCUCGUGACGUCCUGGAUCUAAUCUGGGACUCCGAACAACAUUCGGUAACCAACCAUAUAACUCAAAUACGCAUAAAACAACAUCGAACCUUAAGUGUGCAGACCCUGCGGGUUCGAGAACUAUGUAGACAUGACCCGAGAGACUCCUCGGUCAAUAUCCAAUAGCGGGACCUGGAUGCCCAUAUUGGAUCCUACAUAUUCUACGAAGAUCUUAUCGUUUGAACCUCAGUGCCAAGGAUUCAUAUAAUCCCGUAUGUCAUUCCCUUUGUCCUUCGGUAUGUUACUUGCCCGAGAUUCGAUCGUCAGUAUCCGCAUACCUAUUUCAAUCUCGUUUACCGGCAAGUCUCUUUACUCGUUCCGUAAUACAAGAUCCCGUAACUUACACUAAGUCACAUUGCUUGCAAGGCUUGUGUGUGAUGUUGUAUUACCGAGUGGGCCCCGAGAUACCUCUCCGUCACACAGAGUGACAAAUCCCAGUCUCGAUCCAUACUAACUUAAUGAACACCUUCGGAGAUACCUGUAGAGCAUCUUUAUAGUCACCCAGUUACGUUGCGACGUUUGAUACACACAAAGUAUUCCUCCGGUGUUAGUAAGUUAUAUGAUCUCAUGGUCAUAGGAAUAAAUACUUGACACGCAGAAAACAAUAGCAACAAAAUGACACGAUCAACAUGCUACGUCUAUUAGUUUGGGUCUAGUCCAUCACAUGAUUCUCCUAAUGAUGUGAUCCCGUUAUCAAGUGACAACACUUGCCUAUGGCCAGGAAACCUUGACCAUCUUUGAUCAACAAGCUAGUCAACUAGAGGCUUACUAGGGACAGUGUUUUGUCUAUGUAUCCACACAAGUAUUGUGUUUCCAAUCAAUACAAUUAUAGCAUGGAUAAUAAACGAUUAUCAUGAACAAAGAAAUAUAAUAAUAACUAAUUAUUAUUGCCUCUANNNNNNNNNNNNNNNNNNNNNNNNNNNNNNNNNNNNNNNNNNNNNNNNNNNNNNNNNNNNNNNNNNNNNNNNNNNNNNNNNNNNNNNNNNNNNNNNNNNNCUUAUACUACUUUGCUGCCAUCAACAGAUCAUUUUUGACACCGUUAUUAUCAUACUACUUUGCCAUCAACAGAUCAUUUUUGACACCGUUGUUAUCAUACUACUUUGCUGCUGAUACUUUGCUGCUGAUACUUUGCUUGCAGAUACUAAUCUUUCAGGUGUGGUUGAAUCUGAUACAUUCAGCUGCUAAUACUCGAGAAUAUUCUCUCACCUCCUGCGUGGCGAAUCAACAAAUUUGGGUCGAAUACUCUACCCUCGAAAACUCUCGCGAACCCACGCGCUGGUGGGCCAUUGCAAGACAAUUGCUAAUUGUUGAGCAACUGGGAGUGCUAGCAGCAUUCUUCUGGCGUCGUUGCUGGAGAAGGUCUGUUGUCACAGUAGCAGUUUGCUAACAGAAACAAUUGCUUGACUUGUCAUCGGGGUUGUGCAUGAUUUAGACACUUUGUGUGGAGAAGAUGGAGCAUAGCCAGACCAUAUGAUUUUGUAGGGAUAACUUUCUAAGACCAUGUUAUUUAGAAAGGACGCAAUUGCAUUGUUAGUAUGCUUGAAGUAUUACUAUUUUUAUGUCAAUAUUAGACUUUUGUUUUGAAUCUUAUGGAUCUAAAUAUUCAUGCCACAAUAAAUAAUAUUACAUGGAUAAAUUUGUUAGGUAGCAUUCCACAUCAAAAAUUCUAUUAUUAUCAUUUACCUACUCGAGGACGAGCAUGAAUUAAGCUUGGGGAUGCUUGAUACGUCUCCAAGGUAUCUAUAAUUUUUUAUUGUUCCAUGCUAUUAUAUUAUCUGUUUCAGAUGUUUUAUAUGCAAUAAUAUGAUAUUUUAUAUUAUUUUUGGGACUAACCUAUUAAUCUAGAGCCUAGUGCCAGUUUCUGUUUUUUUUUCAUGUUUUUGUGUGAAUAUUAAACAGAGUCCAAACGGAAUAAAAUCUUCGGGAUGAUUUUUCUUGGACCAGAAGCAUCAUAGAAAACUUGGAGAUGAAGGUAGGAGAGCCGCCGUAUGGCGACAAGCCACAGGGGCGCGCCAUAGGGGGGGCCAAGCAUGUGGACCCAUGGCAACCCUCCUAACCCUAUUCUUCGGCCUAUAGAUUCCCAAAUAUUCCCUGGAUACCAAAGAGAGCCACGAAAAUACUUUUCCGCCGCCGGAAGCCUCUAUUCCCAUGAGAUCCAAUCUUGGAGCCUUUUCAGGUAAUCUGUUGGAGGGGGAAUCGAUCAUAGAGGGCAUCUACAUCAACUCCAUUGCCCCUCCGAUGAUGCAUGAGUAGUACACCACGGACCUUCAAGUCGAUAGCUAGUAGCUAGAUGGCUUCCUCUCUCUUUGUUCUUCAAUACCAUGUUCUUCAUGGAGAUCUAUCCGAUGUAAUACUCUUCCGGUGUGUUUGUCGAGAUCUGAUGAGUUGUGGUUUUAUGUUCAGAUUAUCUAUGAAUAUUAUUUGAGUCUUCUCUGAAUUCUUAUAUGCAUGAUUUCGUAUCGUUGCUAGUCUCUUCGAGUUAUUGGUUUGGUUUGGCCAACUAGAUUGGUAAUUCUUGCAAUGUGAGAAGUGCUUAGUUUUGGGUUCAAUCUUGCAGUGACCUCACCAGUGACAAAGUAGGGGUAGCGAGGCAUGUAUUUUUAUUGUUUCCAUCGAGGAUAAAAAGAUGGGGUUUUCAUCAUAUUGCUUUAGUUUAUCCCUCUACAUCAUGUCAUCUUACCUAAUGCGUUACUAUGUUCCUCAUGAACUUAAUACUCUUGAUGCACGCAGGAGUCGGUCGAUGUGUGGAGUAAUAGUAGUAGAUGUAGAAUCAUUUUGGUCUACUUGACACGGACGUGAUGCCUAUAUGCAUAAUCAUUGCCUUGGAUAUCUUUAUAAUUAUUCACUUUUCUAUCAAUUGCUCGACAGUAAUUUGUUCACCCAUCGUAUUAUUUUUCUUCAUGAGAGAAGCCUCUAGUGAAACCUAUGGCCCCCGGGUCUAUUUUCCAUAUUAUACUUUCAAAUCUAUAAACCAAAACUACCAAAAAUAUCUUGUUGCAAUUUAUUUACUUUUGUUUUACUUUUCGUUUCAGCAAUAUUUUAUAUUUAUCUCUAACAGAUCUCAUCCUUGCAAGUAAACGUGAAGGGAUUGACAACCCCUUUUUAGCGUUGGUGCAAGCGUUCGAUUGUUUGUGUAGGUGCAAAGACUAGGGCCUUGCUUGUUCCUCCUACUAGAUUGAUACCUUGGUUCUCAACAAACUAAGGGAAAUACUUAUCUACUUUGCUGCACCACCCUUUCCUCUUCAAGGGAAAACCAACGCAAGCUGAAGAAUUAGCAGUACAGUCUCCAUACCGGAUGUUCGGCCUAUGACUCAGAUGUGCAUCCAGUGCCAACCACUUAUUCUAUAAUUAGGUGCCAUAAUCUCACUACCACUAUAUAUAGCCUUCUUAUACAUCAAGAUAAGGUUGACCAUUCACUUUGAGCUAACCCUAGAACACAUAUUUCUCUCUCUCACAUCCUCAUACACCAAAUCCAAGAUCCCAGAGGCAUUUGAGAGUACUUGUUAGAAGUGCUCCAAUCAAGUGACAUAUCCACUCCUUCCCCUUCUCUUGACCAAAGGAAUUUGUGAUUUGAGCAAGUCUUCAGAUUUUCCCCUUCGUUCUUGUUACUCUUGGAGGUUGUAGACUCCUAGGUGGUUGCAGUUCUUCAGUGAGGAAUCAACCAUUGUGAUUAUCGUCAGAAAGUUCGUGAGGGUUUGCAGACCACCCCAAUGUCUACUACUAGUGGUUGAUAAAUUCCUUUGUGGUGUUGUCUAAAGGAGAGAAUAUGGUGAGCCUUCGUGACAUUGGUGGGUGCCUUUAUGGUAACAUCCACCUCUCUAAACGUUGAAGUAGAUUCCCUUCAAGGAGUGAAUAUUAGCAUACACCCUCGUCUCUCGGAGUUGCGGUUAUUCCUAACCUUAACUUUCUACUUGUUGUUACUUGUUUCUUGCACUUACUUGUAUUACAUUAUUCUUACCUAUGUCUUUACUUUUUGCUUUGUUAAUCUACUUUGCACCGUUAUCAUCUUAGCAAUUGUUAGGGUCACUUUCAUAUUCCCCAAUAUUGCCUAAAAUUGCUAAGUAACAAAUAAAAUUUGGAAUUAUACCUAUUCACCCUCCUCUAGGUCCAUCUCAAUCCUUUCACAACUCAUUGUAGGAUAAGUUCAUUUUUAUCAUUAGGAACAAUGGUAAUGCCACAUUUCUUAGGGACACAAUGAACAUGACUUAUACAUCUACUAUCAACUAUAGAAUAAAUUAUAACUGCCACUAGGAGCUUUAAUAUUUCAGUUCUUACCACAUUGUUCAUUUCAGGAUUCAAGCAACAUUGACGAUCGAUGACUGCUUUAGACUUGGGCUCCAAAUUAAUUUUGUGUUGACACAUAAAUCAUGAGUAUUUCCAAUUACAGCAGGAUGUUUCUUCAAAGUUUUCAAUAAACUCUUUUUUUGGUGUACUCAAGGGUUAGCAUUGAUAAUAAUAGAAUAUAUUUUCUUUUCAUCCAUAGAAGCAUAUUUCAAAGUAUUUGCGCUUUUCUUUAGUUCGAACACAUGAUCACUCGUAGGUGGACGAGGAUCUCCAAAAAUUUCAGCAGGAAAAUUAUGCUUAAGGAUAGGUUGUUGCCUAAAAAAUAUUUCAUCUAUUUCAUCGCUUUCAUUCAUAUGCAUAUCAUUUUCAUGAUCUAACAAAUAUUGCUCUAAUGGAUUGUAGGAGGCACAACUAUAGAAGCAAGACCAAUAAUAUCAUCUUUAUUAGGUAAAUCUUUAUCAUGAGGUUGUCACAUGAACUUAGAUAAAUUAAAUUCAUGAGAUACAUCAUCAAACUUCACCUUUACCUUUUCCUUAACACAAUAAUUUCUACAUUAACCGUGUUCAAGAAGGGUCUACCAAAUAUGGCGGGUCAAAAAUUAUCUUGUUGUGAACCAAGUACUAGGAAAUUAGUAGGGUAUUUAAUGUUACCACACAAGGCUUCAACAUCUCUAACAAUCCCAAGCAGUGAAAUGGUAUCCUUAUUAGCAAACUUAAUAGUAGUAUCAAUCUCCUCUAUGUGAGGAGGUUAAAUAUCAUGCAUGACUUCUUGAUAGAGAGAAAGGAAUACCACUUAUACUAGCACUCAUGUCACAUAAACAAUGAUAGCAAUGAUAUCCAAUCUUAACAGAAACAACAUGCAUGCCAACAACUUUCUUAUUCUUAUGUACCAUAUCUCGUUCACUUCUAAUAGCUUUAGCUAUUCUAACAUCUUCGUCACAGAAAUAUAUAACAUGCCCCUAAAUAUUAUUAACCAAGAAAUUUUUACCAUAUAAAUAGGACGUUAUAUUUUAAUUUGGUCAAAGGUUUUAGAUUCUUUAACAUUACUAUUAUGAAAAGGGGGCAGGGUAGUCCAGGACCAAGGGGUCCUCGGGUUGCCGAUCUAUCUCUAAUGGGCCACUUCGGGAAGCCGAUGACAUAUGCGAGGAUGAUUCCACAAGACUUGGUGAUCAAGACAAGGACUCCACCAACGCGUCCGACUAGGACCCUUGUUAUCCUAGUUCUUCGGUGCAUUAUAUAAGCCGAUGCUAGGCUAGUCAAUAGAUCAUUAUAAUGAUACGUCAGCAGAACCAUCAUCUAGGGUUUAGUCCAACAGACCUCGUGGUAGAUCGAGUCUGUAACCAUCAUACACUCAUGAAUAUAAUCGAGCAUGACACAGGGGUUUACCUCUUUGAGAGGGCCCGAACAUGGGAAAAUGUUGUCCCCAUGUUUCGUGUUACCCACUGAUCCAAGAUUCACAACUCGGGACCCCCUAGUCGAAAUCCAAAAGUUUUGACACCGACAUUGGUUCUUUGUAAAUAUAAGCAGUACACACAACAAUAUUAGCAGUGUAAGCGAGUAUUUCAGUAUUGUAAAUUAUAUGUUCUUCAAAAAUACGUGUGAUAGGUGGAUGUAAUUUAAACAAUUUCUAUUUAGGAAGAUCAACAUGAACAACAAGAGAUUCAUAGAAUGUAGCACUAUCUCACAAUCAAGUCCAUGUUUUGCACAAAGCUUAACAAAAAUAUUUGUUUCUAAAAGAGACUUAACACAAUCAUAUUAAAGAUUUAUAAUUGACUCAUUACCUUUGUCGACCUCUCGUUCUUCAAAUUUGUGUUUAAUUCCUUCAAUAAUAUAUUACUUGAAUUCAAUACUUCCUUGUGAGAAACAACCACCAAAAAAAGAAUCAAGUAUUGCUCUAUCAUUACGAGAAAGACAAGCAUAAAAGUUUUCAAUAAUCAUAUUGCAUCAUUUCCUUAAGCCUCACCCAAGGUUAUAUAUAUAUAUAUUCUCAUUACAUGAACCAAGUGCAUAUGAUAAAUUUCUGGUGGAAUUCCAGCUUCGUUCGGUUCGAGUCCCAUGAAUUGGUAUCAUCCAAUAGCCUAUACCAUGUAAAUGGUAGUCCCUUUAAAUAUCAAGGGAAUGAUUUCUCUUAACCUCAUCCAUUAAUAAACCUACAAGGUUAAACAAACCACAAAGUUCAUCCAUAUAGAUUAAAUGCAUAUAAGAAUGUGUUGUUCUAUCGCCUGUAUAGGGACUGUCAUGCAAUUUUUCCAUAAUAUAAAAACGGAUGGCAUAAUAGAAAGUUAGUAGGAUGAGGAACAAUUUUUACCGCAUCUUGUCGAGGUGAAGAUACCUGUAUAAACCUCUCAAAGGAUUGUCUUCCAUACUAACAAGUGAAGCUAAAUUUCAGCACGUAAUAUAAAUAUUUACUUACCAAAUUCCAAUUACCAAGAGUGCUUCACUCCCCGGCAACGACAUGAGAAAAAAGUCUUAAUGACCCACAAGUAUUGGGGAUAGACCAUCUUACUUUCGAUAAGUAAGACUACGAAACCAAUGAGGAGCAAAAGGAAUCACUAAGUAUUUUCCAGCAAGGUAUUCUCUCCAAGUGUUGCUAAGUAGUUAUUAUAGAUAGUUUGAUGGCAAUAUAAUUCGUAGAAAGUAACAACUAACAAAAUUAACAAGGUGCAAAAAGUUGGCCCAAUCCUUUCAUUCCGAAGAACAAGCCGGAAGUACUUCUUAUAAUGAUUAAAUCGUUCGCGAGGACACAUGAGAAUAUUGUGUAGUUAGUUUUACCAUGAUUCAUUGAAUCGUGUUCAUUGCUUUGAUAAGUUAUUAUGUGGGUAGGCCGGUGCUAAGGUGUUGUUCUUGCUUGAACAAAAAACCUACUUAUGAUUACACACUCUCGCAAGCAUCUGCAACUAUAAGAGAAGAAUUAAGAUAAAUCUAAUCAUAGCAUCACACAUAUGGACCCAAACAACCCCUUACAAAAUAGCUCAUAAACUAGGGUUUAGGCUCCUUUCAGUCCCGCAUCCAUCAUCUACUAAAAAAUCCCAUAAUGUCUUCCCUAGGCCCAAAUAUGGUAAUGUGUCAUGUAGUCAAUGUUCACAUAACACUACUAGAGGAAGAACACCACAAGAGAUCAUCAAAACAUUAAACAGAAACCAACUUCACAUGAUUACUUAUAACAAGACUUCUCCCAUAUCCUCAAGAACAAAUGGAACUACUCACAAAUCAUGGAGGAUAAAUAUAUGAUAAACAAUCUAAACAUAUAAUCUUUCACGAAAUAAACAAACUAGCAUCAACUACAAAAUGUAAUCAAUACUAUUAUAACACAAGUUUGGGACAAAGAUUGGAUGAAGAGAUGAAUUAGGGUUUGUAGAUGAGAUGGUGCUGGUGAGAUGUUGAUGGGGAUGAGUAUUUGCAUGAUAAGGGGAACGUUGGUGAUGACAAUAGCUUCGAUUUCCCCAUCCUUUGAGGAAAGUUUCCCAAGCGGAAUCGCUCCAUCGGACAGCUACACUGCUCCUACCCAGGUCCAGCUUUGAGACGGUGGCGCUUUGUCCCAGAAGUCUCUUAUGAUUUUUUUCUAUGGAAAAUGACAUCAUAUAGUGAAAGAUGGGCAUUAGUGGACCCCCGGGGCACCCACAAGCUCACAUGGCGCGCCCCACGGGGAUGGUCACACCACCCGAGCUUGUGGGCCCGUGGAGGCUCCUUUGUCGUAUAUUCUUCUUCCAGUUUUUUAAAAUACUACAAAUAAAUAAUCGCAAGUUUUUAGGUCAUUGGGAGCUCCGGCGAAUAUGCAUCUGUUUUGUAGAUCUUUUUAGGUCUGGAAUACCAGCUGCCAUCAAUCUCCCUCAUGUGAUAGAACUUGCAAUUUAAGAGAAAACGACAUUAGGGUUGCAUCAAAAAGUGAAAUAUAACUCUAAAACUUAUAAAUAACAGUAAAAAAACAUGAUGCAAAAUGAACGUAUCAUGUACCACUAGGUGAAGACCCUAGCAAGACCGACAAAAUUGGCAGGCAACUUUCCGCCAAAUAGGUAAGCAUGCAUGCUACCUUCCUUCGAAAAGACUCUCACAGUUUUGUGUAGCCGUGAGAUAUUCCCACGGUACCCACGAAGGUGAUUGAACAACAAUUGUCCGUGUUCCCAAGUGCAUGACCCGUCCGAUAGAAGGCAUGUCGGCACACGCUAGGAUUUCAUCUGAGGGGGGUUGAAGCGUUCCUAAAUACCCGCUUCACGAGGGAGGUGAUCCACCUUGAUUAAUUGGCCAACCCCGUCGUUCUCGUCCUGAAGGACAACAAGAAAGAGACGAAAACCAUAGUUGCCAUGUGUGAUUGAUUAGUUGCCAUAUAUGCACAAUUGUAGUUGCCAUGCAUCACCGUACGAGCGUUGGGUGGGCGAAGAGUAGUUCACCCACAUGACAACGUGAGAAGUCAUGCGUUAAUGGACUGCAUGGUUUCCGUGUGGACGAGGACCGGUUCACCCACACUCGCGAAGCUGGCAACCACACGUUGCGGGUCGUGCAAGGCCGUUUGGAACCCCACACACACCACGCUAUGCCUAUGUGGCACUAAAUUUCCAUUAGAUCCCUGCAAGAUUCGUGCAAUUUAGAACCAACUAUGAUUAGGGCGUGUAAACCAAGUGUUGAAAUGCCACACGUGUGGGCCUUAUCAUUUGGGUUUUGCUUGCUUUGGACGGGAGAAUAAGGACAACUCUAAAGCACAAUCCCAAAUAGUCUGGCCUUGUCCAUUUGGGGGUAAACGGACAGAAAAGGCCGCCCAACUCGCGGGAGCAAAGUGACCAAUGUUCGUUUUUGGUCUGCUUUUGACCCGUUCUCGUCCCAACUUUGGGCCGCAAUUGUGGCCGAACGGACAUGUGCGGCCGCCGCAUGGCGCGUGCCCAUGUCCUUCCUUGGCCCGCUAGUUGGGGACACAUGCGACACUUUUUCUAUUCCACCCCUUCCAACUUCACCCCACCCCAUUUCCCUCUCAUCCCACGCGUCAUCGUCACCAUUUUUAUUGGUCGUCCGAUGUCCAGCACGGCCUAUGAGCCCACCCCUUCCCUUGUCAUAGCCCCCUUUCCUCGAUGUCCCGAGCAGUCCAACCUUGGACGCUAGAUUUCACUGCAUUUGGUGACCGUAUUAGGAGCAGAUCAGGCCGGAUUGUAGUUCACACCGGCUGUCGGUGGUCGCAUAGUGCCAUGGACUGGCCAGAUACCAGUCCGCAUAGUCCCGGCAACGCCCCGAGGGUGGAUGCAGGUACUGACUCUGCCUCUAGCUGCUCAGAUCUACCUCGUCGUUGGUUUGCCGGAAAUACACCAACGACCGUCGUCCGGGCUCGGUGCUGACCCAAAUGCUUGUCGGCGCACCGAUGCCGCUCAUGAAGUGCGAAGACUGUCCACGGAAGGUCAUGCGCCGUGUGUCUACAACGCCGAAACAUGUCAGAUGGGUGUUUAUCAAGUGCAAAAAUGAUGGGGUAUGUGCUAGUUUAGCUUUGGUUGUGUUCCCGGAGUGUGUUCGUUUUUCUUACACUCAAAUAUUUAUUGUGUAAGAUGGAUGCAACUUUUGUUUUUGGAAAAAGAAUACAUUGAUAUACUGAAAGCGCAUAAUUUAAUAGAUGUUCGUGCACUUCUUGCUAGAGUACAUGCUAGAUAUGAGACUAGAUGUGAAUAAGGAAGCAUGCAAGAUCGGGACUCCGUAGAUCAACAAUUAACGCAUUGAGAAGGCACUAAUCCAACUUAUGAAAGCAGUUGUGGAAGUUGGAUAUCUUCUAAAAUUGAUUCUUAUAGUUCUCGUUUCCUUUGUUGUGUUAUUCUAAUCAAAAUUUGGUGAUGUAUUCCAAUGUAUCAAAGAAUCGAUGAUAAAAAUAAUAAAAAAUGUGUUGCAAAAAUUGUAUACGGACGAGAUGGAUUUGAAAUUCAGCCGCACAUUAGACACACCACCGCCGCAUUCAUAAAUUCAGACAGACGCGGUUUUAUUGUCACGCCUAAACGGACAAAAGACGGACAAAACACAUGUUGGUUUGAAGACUUGGUCGGAGUUGUCCUAAGGAGGGAUUUUUCAUAGGUAUCGAUCGGUGAAGUGAAGCAUUGGAAGGGACUAUUCAGUCCAUGAGGACCACCACGUCCCGAUUCCAUGCCCCAACUAAUUAAACAGGAGAACGACGGCUAGGGACUGGCAAAGCCAGGUUUAGAGUAAUGGAUGGGUGUACAGAGAUGAAGAUUAUUGUUAUCUUGGUAAAUGCUUUCGUUAAGCAUUCAGCUACACAGGCUUACGCUGAGAUCCAAAAUUACCUUGUGCACAAGGGAAGAAUCUAUAGAACUUCUUUCAGGUCCAAGAAAAUUUUAUAUACAGUUCAAAAAAAAAUACCGUUCAUAAAAAAAGUCCAGGAAGAUUAACCAGCACUAGGGUUUUUGCCACCAACUACACCAACCAGUCGCUUGUCCCAAUCGAGUGGAUCAACUCGCCUAACCUGCACGCAGUCUAUGCAUGGACCCGGUAGCUUUCGUGCCUCGGUUACUUUGUACCCACAGCUCCCAGAAGGAACACGCGCCUUGCCCUCGGAAAUGUGUAACAAGUCGCAACUCAAAGUCAAGACGAUCUGCAAUGGAAAUAAGCCGAUGGACGUACAUGAUCACAGCAAACGUCUUUCCCGCCUUUUCCACGGCAAUCUCGGAGUUGUUAGGAGAACGAAAGCAAACCUGCUGUGCCUGGUUGCAAGCAAUUGGAUAGAGCUAGGAAAGCUGCGCUCCACCAUCUUUUGACCCCGACGGCUCGACGUAGGACCGACCUUCGCCUCGCACGAGCAACUGCGGAAGCCUCGGUCAGCUCCAUCCGACUCUCAUCCUCGUCACCACCAAGAGCCUAUGCUAACUCCGGCACCAACACCCCUUAUAAAUACCACGCGCUUCCCCCUUCAAUGCCAAGUCAAGCAACCAAAUCCAAACCAAGCCAAGCAAGGAGCAGGGAGCGCUGCCAAGCAAGCUUACCAAUACUGUCUCCUCCGCCUGCGUCCACCGAUCACUUCUUUUCUUUCUCCCACCGAUGGCGGCCGUGAACAAGUCCGUCGACCGGGUGGCGCAGCGCCUGGUGGCACCGGCCGAACCCACGCCUGUCGGCCCGCUCCGCCUGUCCUGGCUCGACCGCUACCCUACCCAGAUGGCGCUCAUCGAGUCGCUGCACGUCUUCAAGCCGGCUCUUGACCGGCAUUUUGACGGCGGCGACGUGGCUGGCCCGGCGAGGACCAUCGAGGGGGCAAUGGCGCAGGCUUUGGUGCAGUAUUAUCCGCUCGCCGGCCGCCUGGGAUUCACGGAGGAAGGGGGGCUGCUGCAAGUUGACUGCGGCGGCGAGGGCAGCGGCGUCUGGUUCACGGAGGCCGUGGCAGGUUGCGCGCUCGAGGACGUGGAGUACCUGGAGCACCCCAUGAUGAUCGCCAAGGACGAGCUGCUCCCGCCCACGCCCGCCCAGGAGGAGGACGAGCGCAGGCUCGUCCUGCUCGUCCAGGUCACCACCUUCGCUUGCGGCGGCUUUGUUGUCGGAUUCCGCUUCAGCCACGCCGUCUCCGACGGCCCCGGAGCCGCGCAGUUCAUGGCCGCCAUAGGGGAGCUCGCCCGCGGCAGCACGGUGGAAGGCUUGACCGUGGAGCCGCAGUGGGGCCGCGAGGCCAUUCCCGACCCGUCCGGCGCAGUCAUCGGCAGCCUGCCGAGCCCCGCGGGCGCCAAGCGCCUUGAGUACCUCGCCAUGGACAUCUCCGCGGACUACAUCAGCCACUUCAAGUCCCAGUACAAUACGGAGCACACCGGAUCCUGGUGCUCGGCGUUCGAGGUGCUAGUGGCCAAGGCGUGGCAGAGCCGCACCCGCGCGGCGGGCUUCGAGCCAGACUCCACCGUCCACCUCUGCUUCGCCAUGAACGCCCGCCCACUACUGCACGCCACGCUCCCGCGCGGCGGCGCCGGGUUCUACGGCAACUGCUACUACAUCAUGCGCGUCUCGGCGCCCGCGGGCAAGGUGUCCGGCUCCUCGAUCCCGGAAGUGGUGAAGAUCAUCAAGGAUGGGAAGAGGCGGAUGCCGUCGGAGUUCGGGCGGUGGGCGACCGGGGAGGCCGGGGCCGAUGGCGGCGUGGACCCGUAUCAGAUCACGUCGGACUACCGGACGCUGCUGGUGUCGGACUGGACGCGGCUCGGGUUCGCCGAGGUGGACUACGGCUGGGGGCCGCCGGCGCACGUCGUGCCGCUCACGAACCUGGACUACAUCGCGACGUGCAUACUGGUGAAGCCGUGGGCGCACAAGCCAGGGGCGCGGCUCAUCACCCAGUGCGUGACGCCCGACCGCGUCGCCGCCUUCCACCAAGGGAUGCUCGACAUGAACUGACCGGAGCCGAGCACGACGACGAAGCCAAAGGAGAAAUCGAAGAGGAAUUGACUUGAUUGCGUGAUUAAUUAUUGGGUUGGUUGUUUGGAUAGAUUGAUGUAGGGUGGUGGUGUGUAGUUUAACUGGAAAUAAGCUCCUCGAUUCGGGGGGUUGGGUUGUGAUUGGAUUUGGUGGGAAAAGCCACCAACUAACUAAUCCUUCGUGGAAUGUAAGAAUCAUUUGUGACAUGUUAUUAUACUAGAGAAAUUUUGCUUGUCUUGUCGAAUAGCUGAGAUCCACGGCGGUGGUGACUUGUGAGCAGUGUGUUCACUGUGUGUCUGCAUUUUGUGUCGGUCACACACUAAUUGCACGGCGGAUUCAGUCCAAGCCACUGAUGCAACGCACCACAUUUUUUUUGGCAAUUUUUUUAAAUAAUACAUUUGUAUAUUAAAUUUGAAAAAUAUUGCGUAGGUUUAAUUUUUUUUGAAAAUAACACACUGUCGACCUGCCAAAUCUGACCGGUUCCACUCGGCCUGGCCAAAGCCGCGAUUAGUGCCUCUCCGCCCAACAACCCUGUAGUCGGCUUAACAAUUACCAUUUAGAACUAAUCGUCUUAAUCAUGAUUAAUUAGUGCUAAUUGACAAAUUAGUAAUUAAUCUUUGUCUUUUUUAAUACUAAAGCGGCUACUGCUUCAGUCGAAAAAUCUGUCACCGCCGUUUUGCAAAAGGAUCCUUCUAUUUUAUGGUAAUUAACCUGCAGUACCUUUCUUAAGUGAGAAAACGUUUCGUGUGAGAAAAAAAACUGAAAAACUGAAACACACACGGUCUCUCCUCUCUCCCCUUCGCCUCCUAAUCCCACCCGCCAGGAGUCACCCCGCCCCGGUGCUCGAUCUGGAGCCGCGCCGAUCUAGCGGCGGGUGCGGCGUCUUGCUCCGGUGGCGACGACGUCCUGCUUAUCCAGAGAACGAUAGAUACAUGGCGUGAGGGAGAGAGGAAAGAGUGGAAGAAAGGAGAAGGAGGAGGGGCACAAGGUGAGGGAGGCGGUCACCGGUGGUGGCGGCUCCGGUGACCGGUUGGUGGGCGGGGGAGACGAGCUCCUGUUGAGGCGGCGGGGCUCGGUGCGGGCUGGUCCCUCCAGAUCGAGCCUUUUCUCUCCCGAGAUGUGACAUCCUCGACUUUUGCUACAGUAGUGAUUGUAAUUAAGCUACAGUGAUCAACCGCUAAUGAUGCCACGUCAUCGAAUUCCCAUCUCAGACCCGCUUGGAUUCGCGUCUGUCCGGAUCGAUGAAUUGAAAGCAAAGGGAAGCACUUUAUCGGUUCAUUACAAGUAUUAAAAGGAUAUAUAUAUAAAAGGAAAGUAUUAAAGAAAUAAUAAUGAUAAAAGAAAGGAAGAAAACUGAAAGAAAGAAAUAAUAAAAAAGGUAAAAGGUAAAAAAAAAAAAAGGAACAACCCCCCCNNNNNNNNNNNNNNNNNNNNNNNNNNNNNNNNNNNNNNNNNNNNNNNNNNNNNNNNNNNNNNNNNNNNNNNNNNNNNNNNNNNNNNNNNNNNNNNNNNNNAUCCCCCAGACUAGCUAUUCGUCUCAGUAUUUUUCAAAAAUUCCAGAAAAAUCAUACUUGAUUUUCAGGACGUUCAGAGAACUUUUAUUUUCGGGGUAUUUUUCUACGGGACGCUAAAACAGUAAACAGGGAAAACUAAACUAAAUCUAUUAUUUUUCUUCUAAGCAACCGAAGGUGAAAGCUUGGAACAGAGGUUUGUGACUCCUCGAUUGAUCCAUCCCAUGGUCAUCGAAAGAAAUCCGUCAAUGAGGUUGAUCAAGUCUCCCUGACAAACUUUUUCGAAUCACAAAAGAGAACGAAGAAUUUUCGAAUAGUCACUAGGUUACCUCAAUGGGGAUGUGUAUCUCCCCAACAAGAAAAUCAUACUUCAUCUUAACAGGAGGUAUAUGGCAUUGAAAGAUCCCAAUAAGAAUCGAUGAAGUUUUUUCGAUAGCAUUGAUGCAAUGUACUCGAUAUUGUUUCUUCGGAAAGUGCACUGUAUGCUCAUUACCAUUGACAUGGAAAGUAACAUUGCCUUUGUUGCAAUCUAUAACAGCCCCUGCAGUGUUAAGAAAGGGUCUUCCGAGGAUAACCGCCAUGGUAUCGUCCUCGGGAAUAUCCAAGAUAACAAAGUCUGUUAAGAUAGUGAUAUUCACAACCACAACAGGCACAUCCUCGCAAAUGCCGAUAGGGAAAGCAGUUGAUUUGUCGGCCAUUUGCAGAGAGAUUUUAGUGGGUGUCAACUUAUCCAAUUCAAGCCUACGAUAAAGAGAGAGAGGCAUAACACUAACACCGGCUCCAAGGUCGCAUAAAGCAGUUCUAACGUAGUUACCUUUAAUGGAGCAAGGUAUAGUGGGCACUCCGGGAUCACCUAAUUUCUUAGGAGUUCCACCCUUGAAGGUAUAACUAGCGAGCAUGGUGGAAAUCUAACCCUCAGGUAUCCUCCUCUUAUUAGUCACAAUAUCUUUCAUGUACUUAGCAUACAGAGACAUUUUGAGCAUAUCUGUCAAACGCAUUUGCAGAAAGACAGGUCUAAUUAUUUCAACAAAGUGCUCAAAAUCCUCAUCAUCCUUUUUCUUGGAUGGUUUGGGAGGAAAUGGCAUGGGUUUCUGAAGCCAUGGUUCCCUUUCUUUACCAUGCUUCGUAGCAACGAAGUCAUUCUUAUCGUAUCUCCUAGCCUUAGGCUGUGGGUAAUCAAGAUCAACAGGUUCAACGUUGAUAUUAUCAUUACGCCCAUAUUAUUGCUAGGUUGAGCAUCAAUAUGAACAUCACUAUUGAUAUUAUCAUUAGGCCCAUGUUCAUCACCAGAUUGUGUCUCAGCAUCAGAAACAGAGGCAUCGUUUGGACUCUCAGGUGUAUCAACAUCUGGGUUGCUAGCGUGCACGUUCCUAUCAUCUCUCUUCUUCUUUCUAGGAUGACUAAGUGCAUCAGUGCUAACUCCUUGAGAAUCGUGUUCAAUUCUCUUUGGAUGACCCUCAGGAUACAAAGGUUCCUGGGUCAUUCUACCGCCUCUAGUGACGACUCUAACAUAAUUGUCAUUCAACUCAUUGAGAAAGUCAUUCUGAGCUUGAAGUACUUGUUCUAGUUGAGUAGUAACCAUAGAGGCAUGUUUACUUAGAAGCUUAAGAGCAUUGACGUUUCUGUCAACACAAGCACUUAAAUGGCUAAGCAUACGAGCAUUCUGUUCCAAUUGUCUGCUAACAUAAUAAUUGAAACUCUGUUGUUUGGCAACAAAGUUAUCGAAUUCAUCUAGGCAUAGGCUAGCAGGUUUAUCAAAAGGAAUAUCACUCUCAUCAAACCUACGCAGAGAAUUUACUUCUACUACCUGUAUCGGGUUAUCGAGACCAUGGAUCUCUUCGAUAGGUGGUAGAUUUUUGACAUCUUCAGAUCUAAUGCCUUUCUCUUGCAUAGAUUUCUUGGCUUCUUGCAUAUCUUCGGGACUGAGGAAUAGAAUACCUCUUUUCUUCGGAGUUGGCUUAGGAGGUGGUUCGGGAAUAGUCCAAGCAUUAUCGUUGAUCAAGAUGUUAUUCAGUAGAGUCUCAGCUUGUUCUACAGUCCGUUCCCUAAAAACACAACCGGCACAACUAUAUAGGUGGUCUCUAGAAGCAUCGGUAAGUCCGUUAUAGAAGAUAUCAAGUAUCUCGUUCUUCUUAAGAGGGUGAUCAGGCAAAGCAUUCUGUAGCUGCACGAGCCUCACCCAAGCUUGUGGGAGACUCUCUUCUUUGAGUUCAGCAAAGUUGUAUAUUUCCUGCAAGGCAGCUUGCUUCUUAUGGGCAGGGAAAUAUUUCUCACAGAAGUAAUAGACCAUAUCCUGGGGACUACUGACACAUCCACGAGCAAGAGAAGUGAACCAGGCUUUAGCGUCAUCCUUUAGAGAGAAAGGAAACAGCUUAAGGAUAUAGUNNNNNNNNNNNNNNNNNNNNNNNNNNNNNNNNNNNNNNNNNNNNNNNNNNNNNNNNNNNNNNNNNNNNNNNNNNNNNNNNNNNNNNNNNNNNNNNNNNNNGCCCAAGAGGGCCCUAUGCGCCUAGAGAAGAAAAUCAAGGAGAAAAAAAAAGAGGAGGUGGGAAGGGAAGGAAGGACUCCCUCCCACCAAACCUAGUCCAAGUCGGUUUGGGGGGGGGGGGAACCUUCCCCCUUGGACUCGGCCGACCCCCUUGGGGCUCCUUGAGCCCCAAGGCAAGGUCCCCUCCCUCCCACCUAUAUAUACUAAGGUUUUAGGGCUGAUUUGAGACGACUUUUCCACGGCAGCCCGACCACAUACCUCCACGGUUUUUUCCUCUAGAUCGCGUUUCUGCGGAGCUCGGGCGGAGCCUUGCUGAGACAAGGUCAUCACCAACCUCCGGAGCGCCGUCACGCUGCCGAAGAACUCUUCUACCUCUCCGUCUCUCUUGCUGGAUCAAGAAGGCCGAGAUCAUCGUUGAGCUGUACGUGUGCUGAACGCGGAGGUGCCGUCCGUUCGGUACUAGAUCGUGGGACUGAUCACGGGAUUGUUCGCGGGGCGGAUCGAGGGACGUGAGGACGUUCCACUACAUCAACCGCGUUCACUAACGCUUCUGCUGUACGGUCUACAAGGGUACGUAGAUCACUCAUCCCCUCUCGUAGAUGGACAUCACCAUGAUAGGUCUUCGUGCACGUAGGAAAUUUUUCUGUUUCCCAUGCGACGUUCCCCAACAGCUACUGCUAGAGAUGCUAUGCCUGAUAUUGCUAGAGAUUCUAUGCCUGAUACUGCUAGAGAUGAUAUGCCUGAUGAUGCUAUGCUUGAUACUGCUUUGCCUGAUGAUGCUAGAGAUGCUAUUUUGCCUGAUGAUGCUAUGCUUGAUACUGCUAGAGAUACUACUUUGCCUGAUGUGCCACCAGGGGUGUUCCUUGAUGCUCAUAUUGCUAGAGUUACUGCCAAUGCUCGUGGUGCUUCUGAAACUGCCGAUACUAUUGAGAUAGAACCUGCUUUUGCUCCUGCUAGAUCUAGCUCUCCUAGAUAUGAAUUUCCUGAUAUACCUGAGGGUUACGUUAUGGAGAGAGAGAUAGCUGAGAAUUUUCUUGCGUGUAAGGAUGCCUAUGACGCUGAGAAAUUACUUCUCAAGUGGAAGGAAAAAUCUCUGAAAGCUAGGAUGAAAUACGACCCGAAGUUUGCCACUUCACCUAUCUUUAUCACCGAUAAGGAUUAUGAAUUCUCUGUCGAUCCUGAGAUAAUCUCUCUAGUCGAAUCUGAUCCUUUCCACAGUUAUGAGUCUGAGACGGUCCUAGCCCAUCUUACCAAACUACACGAUAUAGCCACCCUUUUCACUAGUGAGUUGAAGAUCCGCCACUACUAUAUCCUUAAGCUGUUUCCUUUCUCUCUAAAGGAUGACGCUAAAGCCUGGUUCACUUCUCUUGCUCGUGGAUGUGUCAGUAGUCCCCAGGAUAUGGUCUAUUACUUCUGUGAGAAAUAUUUCCCUGCCCAUAAGAAGCAAGCUGCCUUGCAGGAAAUAUACAACUUUGCUGAACUCAAAGAAGAGAGUCUCCCACAAGCUUGGGUGAGGCUCGUGCAGCUACAGAAUGCUUUGCCUGAUCACCCUCUUAAGAAGAACGAGAUACUUGAUAUCUUCUAUAACGGACUUACCGAUGCUUCUAGAGACCACCUAUAUAGUUGUGCCGGUUGUGUUUUUAGGGAACGGACUGUAGAACAAGCUGAGACUCUACUGAAUAACAUCUUGAUCAACGAUAAUGCUUGGACUAUUCCCGAACCACCUCCUAAGCCAACUCCGAAGAAAAGAGGUAUUCUAUUCCUCAGUCCCGAAGAUAUGCAAGAAGCCAAGAAAUCUAUGCAAGAGAAAGGCAUUAGAUCUGAAGAUGUCAAAAAUCUACCACCUAUCGAAGAGAUCCAUGGUCUCGAUAACCCGAUACAGGUAGUAGAAGUUAAUUCUCUGCGUAGGUUUGAUGAGAGUGAUAUUCCUUUUGAUAAACCUGCUAGCCUAUGUUUUGAUGAGUUUGACAACUUAGUUGCCAAACAACAGAGUUUCAAUGAUUAUGUUAGUAGACAUUUGGAACAAAGUACUCGUAUGCUUAGUCAUUUAAGUGCUUGUGUAGACAGAAAUGUCAAUGAUCUGAAGCUUCUGAGUAAACAAGCCUCUAUGAUUACUACUCAGGUAGAACAAGUACUUAAAGCUCAGAAUGACCUGCUCAAUGAAUUAAAUGACAACUCUGUCAGAGUCGUUACUAGAGGAGGCAAAAUGACUCAGGAACCUUUGUAUCCUAAAGGCCAUCCUAAGAGAAUUGACCAAGAUUCUCAAGGAAUUAAUGUAGAUACACCCAGCCAUCCUAAGGAGAAGAAGAAGGAUGAUAGAAACCUGCAUGUUAGUUCACCAAAUACUGUCACACCUGAAGAACCAAAUGAUAUUUCCGCGUCUGAUGCAGAAACACAAUCUGGUGAUGAACAUGAACCUGGUGACAAUAUGGACAGCGAUGUUCAUAAUGAUGCUCAACCUAGCAAUGAUAAGGAUAUGGAGAUUGAACCUACAGUUAAUCGUGAUAACCCACAACCUAAGAGAUACGAUAAGAUUGAUUUCACUUCUAGGAAGCAUGGUAAAGAAAGAGAGUCAUGGGUUCAGAGACCUAUGCCCUUUCCUCCUAAGCCAUCCAAGAAAAAGGAUGAUGAGGAUUUUGAGCGCUUUAUUGAAAUGAUAAGACCCGUAUUUCUGCAGAUGCGGUUAGUUGAUAUGCUCAAAAUGUCUCCAUAUGCCAAGUACAUGAAAUAUAUCGUGACCAACAAACGGAAGAUACCAGAUCUUGAGAUCUCCACCAUGCUUGCCAAUUACACUUUCAAAGGUGGAACUCCUAAGAAACUUGGUGAUCAUGGAGUGCCCACUAUACCUUGCUCCAUUAAAGGAAACUACGUAAGAACUGCCUUAUGUGACCUUGGAGCCGGUGUUAGUGUUAUGCCUCUCUCUCUUUAUCGUAGACUUCAACUGGAUAAGUUGACACCCACUGAAAUCUCUCUGCAAAUGGCCAACAAAUCAACUGCUUUCCCUGUUGGCAUUUGCAAGGAUGUGCCUGUUGUGGUUGCUAACACCACUAUCUUAACAGACUUUGUUAUCUUGGAUAUUUCCAAGGACGAUGCCAUGGCUGUCAUCCUCGGAAGACCCUUUUUAAACACUUCAGGGGCUUUUAUAGAUUGCAACAAUGGCAAUGUCACUUUCCAUGUCAACGGUAAUGAGCACACCGUGCACUUUCCGAAGAAAUGAUAUCAAGUACAUUGCAUCAAUGCUAUCAAAAAACUUCAUCGAUUCUUAUUGGGAGCUUUGAAUGCCCUAUUCCUCGUGUCAAGAUGAAGUAUGAUUUGCUUGUUGGGGAGAUUCAUAUCCCCACUGAGGUGACUUAGUGGCUAUUCGACAAUUCUCCGUUUCCUUCCGCGAUUUGAGAAAGUUUGUCAUGAGGAUUUGAUCAACCCCAUUGACAGAUUUCUUUCGAUGACCAUGAAAUGGAUGAAUCAAGGAGUCACAAACCUCUGUUUUAAGAACUUUCUGUUGCUUGGAAGAAAAAUGAUAGAUUUAGUUUAGUUUUCCCUGUUUCCUGUUUUAGCGUCCCGGAGAAAAGUACCCCGAAAAUAAAAGUUCUCCGAUGGUCCUGAAAAUCUAGUAUGAUUUUUUCUGGAAUAUUUGAAAAAUACUGGGACUGAGAGCUGGCCUGGGGGCCACCCCAGUGGGCCACAAGCCCUAUCACCGCGGGCUACCCCCUGGCCGGGGGGAGCAAGCUUGUGGGGCCCACAGGGGCUCCCUCCACUCAUUCCAGCUCCCAUCCUCUUCUUCUUCCUCCAGAAAAAAUUGUUUCACAACUCAAACCCGUGUUCUUGCUCAUUUGGCUAUGAUUUUCGAUCUCCUUGCUCAAAGCACCAUUCUCCGAACCGUUUUGGGGGAAAUUACUCAUUGGUAAGUGACUCCUCCAUUGGUCCAAUUAGUUUUUGCUCUAGUACUUUAUCCUUCGCGUAUUCUUGCUACCUUGGUGACCCUGUUCUUGAGCUUGAAAUGCUGAUUUUAGCUGGUCCCAAGUAGUUUUAGCGCGUGAUACGGUCUCUAGGCACUAGUAGGAGUAGUUGCUACGAGUUGGGUUAAUCCUUACUCACUUUUCUUUCGAGGUCUCUAAAAAUUUCAGAUAUUUUUAGACCUAGAAAAGGAAAAAAGAUGAGGAGGUUCUUGAGAGGCUCUUCAAGCCAUAAACCCAAGGAGGAUGAGAAGAACCACCCCAAGUAUGUGGUUCCUCGAGUCACGGAAGUUCGAGCGUGCAAGUGGCCAAGUGAUGAAUUUUUGCGCGUCGUCAGGCUUUAUGAAGACUUUUAUUACUUGGUGGAGAACGCAGGUCUUACCGCGUUCGUUGAAGAUAAGUGCUCACAAUACCUCCUCCUCACCAAUAUUUUCGUUCAAAGCUUCAACUUUUAUCCAAGGAAGAAUCCUCCCAUGGUUGAGUUCAUGUUGUACGAUAUCCCCCAGUGCAUGACACUACAGGAUUUUUGCAAUGCAUGCAAAUUACCUUAUGUUGGGGAUAUUCAUGAUCCUCGUCCUCGGGACUUGGAGGAUUUCAUAGGUACUACUGUUGUUGGAGAGGAGAGAGGAGUGUCUCGCGCUAGAAUUGCUAGCAUACAUUUUCCUGUGCUUCAGUACUUCUCAUUAUUUGUGGGAAAAUGUUUGAUUGGCCGUGGGGAGGUUGGAUCACUUAGCUCUCCAGACCUUGCGGUUUUGCGCGAAGGCCUUUAUAGCGAUAAGACUUAUAGCCUGGGUGCUAUAGUAGCUUAGCGGUUGAACACCAACCGUUCCAAAGGUGUCGUCUAUGGAGGUAUCUAUGCUACUCGUCUUGCUAGACACUUUGAGAUACCUAUCAGAUUUCGCGAGGAAGAAGAGAUGCUUCUUCCUGAGAAAUAUCAGGAUUAUGACAGCAUGGUUCGCCAGGAUUUUAUGGAUAGAGAUGCUAGUAGGCGAAUGCUUUAUAACCUGGUAUUUAGUCAGGGUACUCGAGAGACUAUUACUUUGCCUGCUCCUUCUUUGUUCGAUCUUCAUGCUGGCAGGUACACUAUUAUGCCCUCGGACAUCUACGCAUAUUGGGGCUUAGCCCAACCACAGGUGCCCGUGCCCGAGCCGCCAGUCGAGUACCAGACGCCAGUUUAUCAGUGGGAGCUAGAGGAGCUCACACAGCAGUGGCAUCCACAGUCCGCUCCGGAGUAUCCUGGAGCUGAUUAUUUCCCGCCUUGGGAGUAGACCAAGCUAGGCCAAAAGCCUAAGCUUGGGGGAGUACGUGUUCUCACCGACCUUACAUUCAUGCUUAUGCUUUCACUUUGUUCGUCGGUAUUUACACUUUGCCACUGUAUUAUCCAUGCUAGUUUAUUUUCGUUUUCUUGUUUUCUUGUUUUGUGUCAUUUUGAGAGAACCCGAAAAGAUUUUCCUUUCUUCUUUAGCUUGUUGGGAGCUUUCCCGUGUAAAUAGUUUUAUUUUUCUUUGGGUCAAGGUAGAAGAUAUUGGUUACAAUGUUUAGUGGCUCUUGCAUGCAUACCUGUUUAGCUUUCAAAGAGCCAUAUUACUUGUCUUCUCCUUUGUGGUUGCCUGCAGAUUCAGCUUAGUCCAUUGCACGAGCACGCUUAUUAUUGUUCACAUCGUUGGAUCGUGCAAGUGAAAGGCAAUAAUGAUGAUAUAUGAUGAAGUGACUGAGGCUGGAAAAGAUGGUAUGAACUAUUUUGUUUUUGUAAAUAUGACUAGCUUGUCAUCCCAGAUUCAGCUUUGUUGUGAGAGGACCAUGUUUGCAAUGACAACUUAGAGAUCAUAGUUUCUGAUGCCAUGCUUAUUUAUCUAGGAGCUUAUAAUGGUUUGUCUUGAAUGCCAACAUAGAUUUUGAGAUGACUAUGAUGUAGUAUGAUAGGAUGGUAUUAUCCUUUGAAUGAUUCAAGUGGCUUGACUUGGCGCAUGUUCAUGCAUGUAGUUGAAACAAAAUCAACAUAGCCUCUAUGAUGUUCGUGUUCAUGGUGAUUUAUAUCCUGUUCAUGCUUGCACUCCAUGUUAGUCAAACUCAUUGUAUUCUGAUGACUGUUGUCGCUCUCUAGUUGGUCGCUUCCCAGUCUUUUGCUAGCCUUCAUUUGUACUAAGCGGAAUACUGCUUGUGCAUCCACUUCCAUAAACCCAAAAGUUUUUUCAUGUGAGUCCACCAUACCUACCUAUGUGCGGUAUUUACCUGCCGUUCCAAGUAAAUUUGCAUGUGCCAUUCUCUAAACCUGCAAGAAAUAAUCAGUUUUGCAUGCCCGAACCGCUCAUGUGGUGACAGGGGGCUAUUGAUAUCUUCCAUGUUAGGCGUGUUAUCCCCGACAUGUGUUUAUUCACUGUCAUAACUGUAAAACAAGGCUCCCCCGGAUUGAUGUUAGUAUGGACGGUACCCAAGGAUUCGGCUAGCCGUGGAGUGUGAUUGAUUGGUGGUGGGGGAGUGAAAACUUUACUUUUCUGUUUGGGAACCGCCAAUAGCAUGAGUAGCGUGGAAGAUAUUGAGAACUCUUGGUCAUUGCGUUGACAAUGAAAGCAUGCCACCUAAAAUUAUUAUCUCUGUUUUCAAAGCUUGAGCUCUGGCACCUCUGCAAAUCUAUGCUUCCCUCUGCGAAGGGCCUGCCUAUUUAUUUUCCUGUUAAGUCAUCCUCUUCUUAUAUAAGAACCAAUUAGAGAGCACCUUUGUCAUCUUUAUGCUUUGCUUUUGAUUGGUAUUGAGUAUGACUAUGACUGGAUCUUCGUUGCUACGAAUUACAAUGUUUAGUCAGCCCUUGAUCUUUGAAAGUGCUCUGCAUUUAUGUUUUGCGGUCUCAGAAAGAGCUAGCGAGAUACCACCUAUUCAUAUUGCUUCAUGCUUAUUUUGAUUGAAUUGUUGGUAUUUGGAACUCAUUAUUAUUUGCUCGCUAGCUGAUUAUGCCAUUGAUAUUAGUUUACAGUGAGACCUUUGUGUCACUUGCUUAUAUAGUUAACUUGUGAUCUUCCUGAAAUUCUGGUUACGAGUUAGACAGAGUUGCAACAACAAGAUCAAACAGAGUUUGUCAAAGUUUUUCUUUCUCUUUCAGUUUGUCAACUGAGUUGCUUGAGGACAAGCAAGGUUUUAAGCUUGGGGGAGUUUGAUACGUCUCCAUCGUAUCUACUUUUUCAAACUCUUUUGCCCUUGUUUUGAACUCUAAUUUGCAUGAUUUGAAUGGAACUAACCCGGACUGACGCUGUUUUCAGCAGAAUUGCCAUGGUGUUGUUUUUGUGCAGAAAUGAAAGUUCUCGGAACAUCCUGAAAAUUUACGGAUAUUUUUUCUGGAAAAUAUGAAAAAUAGGUGCGCAAAGAUCCACGGGAAGGGAUGGGCCAGUGGGCCACAAGCCCUGUUGCCGCGGCCUCCCCCCUGGCCGCGGCAACCAAGCUUGUGGGGCCCAUGUGGCUCUGCCGCCCCCAAACUCAGCUCUAUAAAUUCACUUUUGCCCAGAAAAAAAAUCAGAAGAGAAGAUUUCGUCGCAUUUGCGAUACGGAGGCGCCGCCAUAUCCUGUUCUUCAUUUGGAAGACAGAUCUGGAGUCCGUUUUGGGCUCCGGAGAGGGAAAAUCGUCGCCAUCGUCAUCAUCAACCUUCUUCCCUCUCCAAUUCCAUGAAGCUCUUCAUUGUUCGUGAGUAAUCUAUUCGUAGGCUCGCUGGGCGGUGAUGAGUAGGAUGAGAUCUAUCAUGUAAUCGAGUUAGUUUUGACAGGGAUUGAUCCCUAGUAUCCACUAUGUUCUGAGAUUGAUGUUGCUACUACUUUGCCAUGCUUAAUGCUUGUCACUAGGGCCCGAGUGACAUGAUUUCAGAUCUGAAAUUAUUAUGUUGUCACCAAUAUAUGUGAGUUUUAGAUCCGAUCUUGCAAGUUGUGGUUACCUACUAUGUGUUAUGAUCUGACAACCCCGGAUUGACAAUAACCGGAACCACUCCCGGUGAUGACCAUAGUUUGAGGAGUUCAUGUGUUCACCAAGUGCUAAUGCGUUGUUCCGGUUCUUUAUUAAAAGGAGAACCUUAAUAUCCUGUAGUAUCCUUUUGGACCCCGCUGCCAUGGGAGGGAUGGACAAUAGAUGUUAUGCAAGUUCUUAUACUACUUUGCUGCCAUCAACAGAUCAUUUUUGACACCGUUAUUAUCAUACUACUUUGCCAUCAACAGAUCAUUUUUGACACCGUUGUUAUCAUACUACUUUGCUGCUGAUACUUUGCUGCUGAUACUUUGCUUGCAGAUACUAAUCUUUCAGGUGUGGUUGAAUCUGAUACAUUCAGCUGCUAAUACUCGAGAAUAUUCUCUCACCUCCUGCGUGGCGAAUCAACAAAUUUGGGUCGAAUACUCUACCCUCGAAAACUCUCGCGAACCCACGCGCUGGUGGGCCAUUGCAAGACAAUUGCUAAUUGUUGAGCAACUGGGAGUGCUAGCAGCAUUCUUCUGGCGUCGUUGCUGGAGAAGGUCUGUUGUCACAGUAGCAGUUUGCUAACAGAAACAAUUGCUUGACUUGUCAUCGGGGUUGUGCAUGAUUUAGACACUUUGUGUGGAGAAGAUGGAGCAUAGCCAGACCAUAUGAUUUUGUAGGGAUAACUUUCUAAGACCAUGUUAUUUAGAAAGGACGCAAUUGCAUUGUUAGUAUGCUUGAAGUAUUACUAUUUUUAUGUCAAUAUUAGACUUUUGUUUUGAAUCUUAUGGAUCUAAAUAUUCAUGCCACAAUAAAUAAUAUUACAUGGAUAAAUUUGUUAGGUAGCAUUCCACAUCAAAAAUUCUAUUAUUAUCAUUUACCUACUCGAGGACGAGCAUGAAUUAAGCUUGGGGAUGCUUGAUACGUCUCCAAGGUAUCUAUAAUUUUUUAUUGUUCCAUGCUAUUAUAUUAUCUGUUUCAGAUGUUUUAUAUGCAAUAAUAUGAUAUUUUAUAUUAUUUUUGGGACUAACCUAUUAAUCUAGAGCCUAGUGCCAGUUUCUGUUUUUUUUUCAUGUUUUUGUGUGAAUAUUAAACAGAGUCCAAACGGAAUAAAAUCUUCGGGAUGAUUUUUCUUGGACCAGAAGCAUCAUAGAAAACUUGGAGAUGAAGGUAGGAGAGCCGCCGUAUGGCGACAAGCCACAGGGGCGCGCCAUAGGGGGGGCCAAGCAUGUGGACCCAUGGCAACCCUCCUAACCCUAUUCUUCGGCCUAUAGAUUCCCAAAUAUUCCCUGGAUACCAAAGAGAGCCACGAAAAUACUUUUCCGCCGCCGGAAGCCUCUAUUCCCAUGAGAUCCAAUCUUGGAGCCUUUUCAGGUAAUCUGUUGGAGGGGGAAUCGAUCAUAGAGGGCAUCUACAUCAACUCCAUUGCCCCUCCGAUGAUGCAUGAGUAGUACACCACGGACCUUCAAGUCGAUAGCUAGUAGCUAGAUGGCUUCCUCUCUCUUUGUUCUUCAAUACCAUGUUCUUCAUGGAGAUCUAUCCGAUGUAAUACUCUUCCGGUGUGUUUGUCGAGAUCUGAUGAGUUGUGGUUUUAUGUUCAGAUUAUCUAUGAAUAUUAUUUGAGUCUUCUCUGAAUUCUUAUAUGCAUGAUUUCGUAUCGUUGCUAGUCUCUUCGAGUUAUUGGUUUGGUUUGGCCAACUAGAUUGGUAAUUCUUGCAAUGUGAGAAGUGCUUAGUUUUGGGUUCAAUCUUGCAGUGACCUCACCAGUGACAAAGUAGGGGUAGCGAGGCAUGUAUUUUUAUUGUUUCCAUCGAGGAUAAAAAGAUGGGGUUUUCAUCAUAUUGCUUUAGUUUAUCCCUCUACAUCAUGUCAUCUUACCUAAUGCGUUACUAUGUUCCUCAUGAACUUAAUACUCUUGAUGCACGCAGGAGUCGGUCGAUGUGUGGAGUAAUAGUAGUAGAUGUAGAAUCAUUUUGGUCUACUUGACACGGACGUGAUGCCUAUAUGCAUAAUCAUUGCCUUGGAUAUCUUUAUAAUUAUUCACUUUUCUAUCAAUUGCUCGACAGUAAUUUGUUCACCCAUCGUAUUAUUUUUCUUCAUGAGAGAAGCCUCUAGUGAAACCUAUGGCCCCCGGGUCUAUUUUCCAUAUUAUACUUUCAAAUCUAUAAACCAAAACUACCAAAAAUAUCUUGUUGCAAUUUAUUUACUUUUGUUUUACUUUUCGUUUCAGCAAUAUUUUAUAUUUAUCUCUAACAGAUCUCAUCCUUGCAAGUAAACGUGAAGGGAUUGACAACCCCUUUUUAGCGUUGGUGCAAGCGUUCGAUUGUUUGUGUAGGUGCAAAGACUAGGGCCUUGCUUGUUCCUCCUACUAGAUUGAUACCUUGGUUCUCAACAAACUAAGGGAAAUACUUAUCUACUUUGCUGCACCACCCUUUCCUCUUCAAGGGAAAACCAACGCAAGCUGAAGAAUUAGCAGUACAGUCUCCAUACCGGAUGUUCGGCCUAUGACUCAGAUGUGCAUCCAGUGCCAACCACUUAUUCUAUAAUUAGGUGCCAUAAUCUCACUACCACUAUAUAUAGCCUUCUUAUACAUCAAGAUAAGGUUGACCAUUCACUUUGAGCUAACCCUAGAACACAUAUUUCUCUCUCUCACAUCCUCAUACACCAAAUCCAAGAUCCCAGAGGCAUUUGAGAGUACUUGUUAGAAGUGCUCCAAUCAAGUGACAUAUCCACUCCUUCCCCUUCUCUUGACCAAAGGAAUUUGUGAUUUGAGCAAGUCUUCAGAUUUUCCCCUUCGUUCUUGUUACUCUUGGAGGUUGUAGACUCCUAGGUGGUUGCAGUUCUUCAGUGAGGAAUCAACCAUUGUGAUUAUCGUCAGAAAGUUCGUGAGGGUUUGCAGACCACCCCAAUGUCUACUACUAGUGGUUGAUAAAUUCCUUUGUGGUGUUGUCUAAAGGAGAGAAUAUGGUGAGCCUUCGUGACAUUGGUGGGUGCCUUUAUGGUAACAUCCACCUCUCUAAACGUUGAAGUAGAUUCCCUUCAAGGAGUGAAUAUUAGCAUACACCCUCGUCUCUCGGAGUUGCGGUUAUUCCUAACCUUAACUUUCUACUUGUUGUUACUUGUUUCUUGCACUUACUUGUAUUACAUUAUUCUUACCUAUGUCUUUACUUUUUGCUUUGUUAAUCUACUUUGCACCGUUAUCAUCUUAGCAAUUGUUAGGGUCACUUUCAUAUUCCCCAAUAUUGCCUAAAAUUGCUAAGUAACAAAUAAAAUUUGGAAUUAUACCUAUUCACCCUCCUCUAGGUCCAUCUCAAUCCUUUCACAACUCAUUGUAGGAUAAGUUCAUUUUUAUCAUUAGGAACAAUGGUAAUGCCACAUUUCUUAGGGACACAAUGAACAUGACUUAUACAUCUACUAUCAACUAUAGAAUAAAUUAUAACUGCCACUAGGAGCUUUAAUAUUUCAGUUCUUACCACAUUGUUCAUUUCAGGAUUCAAGCAACAUUGACGAUCGAUGACUGCUUUAGACUUGGGCUCCAAAUUAAUUUUGUGUUGACACAUAAAUCAUGAGUAUUUCCAAUUACAGCAGGAUGUUUCUUCAAAGUUUUCAAUAAACUCUUUUUUUGGUGUACUCAAGGGUUAGCAUUGAUAAUAAUAGAAUAUAUUUUCUUUUCAUCCAUAGAAGCAUAUUUCAAAGUAUUUGCGCUUUUCUUUAGUUCGAACACAUGAUCACUCGUAGGUGGACGAGGAUCUCCAAAAAUUUCAGCAGGAAAAUUAUGCUUAAGGAUAGGUUGUUGCCUAAAAAAUAUUUCAUCUAUUUCAUCGCUUUCAUUCAUAUGCAUAUCAUUUUCAUGAUCUAACAAAUAUUGCUCUAAUGGAUUGUAGGAGGCACAACUAUAGAAGCAAGACCAAUAAUAUCAUCUUUAUUAGGUAAAUCUUUAUCAUGAGGUUGUCACAUGAACUUAGAUAAAUUAAAUUCAUGAGAUACAUCAUCAAACUUCACCUUUACCUUUUCCUUAACACAAUAAUUUCUACAUUAACCGUGUUCAAGAAGGGUCUACCAAAUAUGGCGGGUCAAAAAUUAUCUUGUUGUGAACCAAGUACUAGGAAAUUAGUAGGGUAUUUAAUGUUACCACACAAGGCUUCAACAUCUCUAACAAUCCCAAGCAGUGAAAUGGUAUCCUUAUUAGCAAACUUAAUAGUAGUAUCAAUCUCCUCUAUGUGAGGAGGUUAAAUAUCAUGCAUGACUUCUUGAUAGAGAGAAAGGAAUACCACUUAUACUAGCACUCAUGUCACAUAAACAAUGAUAGCAAUGAUAUCCAAUCUUAACAGAAACAACAUGCAUGCCAACAACUUUCUUAUUCUUAUGUACCAUAUCUCGUUCACUUCUAAUAGCUUUAGCUAUUCUAACAUCUUCGUCACAGAAAUAUAUAACAUGCCCCUAAAUAUUAUUAACCAAGAAAUUUUUACCAUAUAAAUAGGACGUUAUAUUUUAAUUUGGUCAAAGGUUUUAGAUUCUUUAACAUUACUAUUAUGAAAAGGGGGCAGGGUAGUCCAGGACCAAGGGGUCCUCGGGUUGCCGAUCUAUCUCUAAUGGGCCACUUCGGGAAGCCGAUGACAUAUGCGAGGAUGAUUCCACAAGACUUGGUGAUCAAGACAAGGACUCCACCAACGCGUCCGACUAGGACCCUUGUUAUCCUAGUUCUUCGGUGCAUUAUAUAAGCCGAUGCUAGGCUAGUCAAUAGAUCAUUAUAAUGAUACGUCAGCAGAACCAUCAUCUAGGGUUUAGUCCAACAGACCUCGUGGUAGAUCGAGUCUGUAACCAUCAUACACUCAUGAAUAUAAUCGAGCAUGACACAGGGGUUUACCUCUUUGAGAGGGCCCGAACAUGGGAAAAUGUUGUCCCCAUGUUUCGUGUUACCCACUGAUCCAAGAUUCACAACUCGGGACCCCCUAGUCGAAAUCCAAAAGUUUUGACACCGACAUUGGUUCUUUGUAAAUAUAAGCAGUACACACAACAAUAUUAGCAGUGUAAGCGAGUAUUUCAGUAUUGUAAAUUAUAUGUUCUUCAAAAAUACGUGUGAUAGGUGGAUGUAAUUUAAACAAUUUCUAUUUAGGAAGAUCAACAUGAACAACAAGAGAUUCAUAGAAUGUAGCACUAUCUCACAAUCAAGUCCAUGUUUUGCACAAAGCUUAACAAAAAUAUUUGUUUCUAAAAGAGACUUAACACAAUCAUAUUAAAGAUUUAUAAUUGACUCAUUACCUUUGUCGACCUCUCGUUCUUCAAAUUUGUGUUUAAUUCCUUCAAUAAUAUAUUACUUGAAUUCAAUACUUCCUUGUGAGAAACAACCACCAAAAAAAGAAUCAAGUAUUGCUCUAUCAUUACGAGAAAGACAAGCAUAAAAGUUUUCAAUAAUCAUAUUGCAUCAUUUCCUUAAGCCUCACCCAAGGUUAUAUAUAUAUAUAUUCUCAUUACAUGAACCAAGUGCAUAUGAUAAAUUUCUGGUGGAAUUCCAGCUUCGUUCGGUUCGAGUCCCAUGAAUUGGUAUCAUCCAAUAGCCUAUACCAUGUAAAUGGUAGUCCCUUUAAAUAUCAAGGGAAUGAUUUCUCUUAACCUCAUCCAUUAAUAAACCUACAAGGUUAAACAAACCACAAAGUUCAUCCAUAUAGAUUAAAUGCAUAUAAGAAUGUGUUGUUCUAUCGCCUGUAUAGGGACUGUCAUGCAAUUUUUCCAUAAUAUAAAAACGGAUGGCAUAAUAGAAAGUUAGUAGGAUGAGGAACAAUUUUUACCGCAUCUUGUCGAGGUGAAGAUACCUGUAUAAACCUCUCAAAGGAUUGUCUUCCAUACUAACAAGUGAAGCUAAAUUUCAGCACGUAAUAUAAAUAUUUACUUACCAAAUUCCAAUUACCAAGAGUGCUUCACUCCCCGGCAACGACAUGAGAAAAAAGUCUUAAUGACCCACAAGUAUUGGGGAUAGACCAUCUUACUUUCGAUAAGUAAGACUACGAAACCAAUGAGGAGCAAAAGGAAUCACUAAGUAUUUUCCAGCAAGGUAUUCUCUCCAAGUGUUGCUAAGUAGUUAUUAUAGAUAGUUUGAUGGCAAUAUAAUUCGUAGAAAGUAACAACUAACAAAAUUAACAAGGUGCAAAAAGUUGGCCCAAUCCUUUCAUUCCGAAGAACAAGCCGGAAGUACUUCUUAUAAUGAUUAAAUCGUUCGCGAGGACACAUGAGAAUAUUGUGUAGUUAGUUUUACCAUGAUUCAUUGAAUCGUGUUCAUUGCUUUGAUAAGUUAUUAUGUGGGUAGGCCGGUGCUAAGGUGUUGUUCUUGCUUGAACAAAAAACCUACUUAUGAUUACACACUCUCGCAAGCAUCUGCAACUAUAAGAGAAGAAUUAAGAUAAAUCUAAUCAUAGCAUCACACAUAUGGACCCAAACAACCCCUUACAAAAUAGCUCAUAAACUAGGGUUUAGGCUCCUUUCAGUCCCGCAUCCAUCAUCUACUAAAAAAUCCCAUAAUGUCUUCCCUAGGCCCAAAUAUGGUAAUGUGUCAUGUAGUCAAUGUUCACAUAACACUACUAGAGGAAGAACACCACAAGAGAUCAUCAAAACAUUAAACAGAAACCAACUUCACAUGAUUACUUAUAACAAGACUUCUCCCAUAUCCUCAAGAACAAAUGGAACUACUCACAAAUCAUGGAGGAUAAAUAUAUGAUAAACAAUCUAAACAUAUAAUCUUUCACGAAAUAAACAAACUAGCAUCAACUACAAAAUGUAAUCAAUACUAUUAUAACACAAGUUUGGGACAAAGAUUGGAUGAAGAGAUGAAUUAGGGUUUGUAGAUGAGAUGGUGCUGGUGAGAUGUUGAUGGGGAUGAGUAUUUGCAUGAUAAGGGGAACGUUGGUGAUGACAAUAGCUUCGAUUUCCCCAUCCUUUGAGGAAAGUUUCCCAAGCGGAAUCGCUCCAUCGGACAGCUACACUGCUCCUACCCAGGUCCAGCUUUGAGACGGUGGCGCUUUGUCCCAGAAGUCUCUUAUGAUUUUUUUCUAUGGAAAAUGACAUCAUAUAGUGAAAGAUGGGCAUUAGUGGACCCCCGGGGCACCCACAAGCUCACAUGGCGCGCCCCACGGGGAUGGUCACACCACCCGAGCUUGUGGGCCCGUGGAGGCUCCUUUGUCGUAUAUUCUUCUUCCAGUUUUUUAAAAUACUACAAAUAAAUAAUCGCAAGUUUUUAGGUCAUUGGGAGCUCCGGCGAAUAUGCAUCUGUUUUGUAGAUCUUUUUAGGUCUGGAAUACCAGCUGCCAUCAAUCUCCCUCAUGUGAUAGAACUUGCAAUUUAAGAGAAAACGACAUUAGGGUUGCAUCAAAAAGUGAAAUAUAACUCUAAAACUUAUAAAUAACAGUAAAAAAACAUGAUGCAAAAUGAACGUAUCAUGUACCACUAGGUGAAGACCCUAGCAAGACCGACAAAAUUGGCAGGCAACUUUCCGCCAAAUAGGUAAGCAUGCAUGCUACCUUCCUUCGAAAAGACUCUCACAGUUUUGUGUAGCCGUGAGAUAUUCCCACGGUACCCACGAAGGUGAUUGAACAACAAUUGUCCGUGUUCCCAAGUGCAUGACCCGUCCGAUAGAAGGCAUGUCGGCACACGCUAGGAUUUCAUCUGAGGGGGGUUGAAGCGUUCCUAAAUACCCGCUUCACGAGGGAGGUGAUCCACCUUGAUUAAUUGGCCAACCCCGUCGUUCUCGUCCUGAAGGACAACAAGAAAGAGACGAAAACCAUAGUUGCCAUGUGUGAUUGAUUAGUUGCCAUAUAUGCACAAUUGUAGUUGCCAUGCAUCACCGUACGAGCGUUGGGUGGGCGAAGAGUAGUUCACCCACAUGACAACGUGAGAAGUCAUGCGUUAAUGGACUGCAUGGUUUCCGUGUGGACGAGGACCGGUUCACCCACACUCGCGAAGCUGGCAACCACACGUUGCGGGUCGUGCAAGGCCGUUUGGAACCCCACACACACCACGCUAUGCCUAUGUGGCACUAAAUUUCCAUUAGAUCCCUGCAAGAUUCGUGCAAUUUAGAACCAACUAUGAUUAGGGCGUGUAAACCAAGUGUUGAAAUGCCACACGUGUGGGCCUUAUCAUUUGGGUUUUGCUUGCUUUGGACGGGAGAAUAAGGACAACUCUAAAGCACAAUCCCAAAUAGUCUGGCCUUGUCCAUUUGGGGGUAAACGGACAGAAAAGGCCGCCCAACUCGCGGGAGCAAAGUGACCAAUGUUCGUUUUUGGUCUGCUUUUGACCCGUUCUCGUCCCAACUUUGGGCCGCAAUUGUGGCCGAACGGACAUGUGCGGCCGCCGCAUGGCGCGUGCCCAUGUCCUUCCUUGGCCCGCUAGUUGGGGACACAUGCGACACUUUUUCUAUUCCACCCCUUCCAACUUCACCCCACCCCAUUUCCCUCUCAUCCCACGCGUCAUCGUCACCAUUUUUAUUGGUCGUCCGAUGUCCAGCACGGCCUAUGAGCCCACCCCUUCCCUUGUCAUAGCCCCCUUUCCUCGAUGUCCCGAGCAGUCCAACCUUGGACGCUAGAUUUCACUGCAUUUGGUGACCGUAUUAGGAGCAGAUCAGGCCGGAUUGUAGUUCACACCGGCUGUCGGUGGUCGCAUAGUGCCAUGGACUGGCCAGAUACCAGUCCGCAUAGUCCCGGCAACGCCCCGAGGGUGGAUGCAGGUACUGACUCUGCCUCUAGCUGCUCAGAUCUACCUCGUCGUUGGUUUGCCGGAAAUACACCAACGACCGUCGUCCGGGCUCGGUGCUGACCCAAAUGCUUGUCGGCGCACCGAUGCCGCUCAUGAAGUGCGAAGACUGUCCACGGAAGGUCAUGCGCCGUGUGUCUACAACGCCGAAACAUGUCAGAUGGGUGUUUAUCAAGUGCAAAAAUGAUGGGGUAUGUGCUAGUUUAGCUUUGGUUGUGUUCCCGGAGUGUGUUCGUUUUUCUUACACUCAAAUAUUUAUUGUGUAAGAUGGAUGCAACUUUUGUUUUUGGAAAAAGAAUACAUUGAUAUACUGAAAGCGCAUAAUUUAAUAGAUGUUCGUGCACUUCUUGCUAGAGUACAUGCUAGAUAUGAGACUAGAUGUGAAUAAGGAAGCAUGCAAGAUCGGGACUCCGUAGAUCAACAAUUAACGCAUUGAGAAGGCACUAAUCCAACUUAUGAAAGCAGUUGUGGAAGUUGGAUAUCUUCUAAAAUUGAUUCUUAUAGUUCUCGUUUCCUUUGUUGUGUUAUUCUAAUCAAAAUUUGGUGAUGUAUUCCAAUGUAUCAAAGAAUCGAUGAUAAAAAUAAUAAAAAAUGUGUUGCAAAAAUUGUAUACGGACGAGAUGGAUUUGAAAUUCAGCCGCACAUUAGACACACCACCGCCGCAUUCAUAAAUUCAGACAGACGCGGUUUUAUUGUCACGCCUAAACGGACAAAAGACGGACAAAACACAUGUUGGUUUGAAGACUUGGUCGGAGUUGUCCUAAGGAGGGAUUUUUCAUAGGUAUCGAUCGGUGAAGUGAAGCAUUGGAAGGGACUAUUCAGUCCAUGAGGACCACCACGUCCCGAUUCCAUGCCCCAACUAAUUAAACAGGAGAACGACGGCUAGGGACUGGCAAAGCCAGGUUUAGAGUAAUGGAUGGGUGUACAGAGAUGAAGAUUAUUGUUAUCUUGGUAAAUGCUUUCGUUAAGCAUUCAGCUACACAGGCUUACGCUGAGAUCCAAAAUUACCUUGUGCACAAGGGAAGAAUCUAUAGAACUUCUUUCAGGUCCAAGAAAAUUUUAUAUACAGUUCAAAAAAAAAUACCGUUCAUAAAAAAAGUCCAGGAAGAUUAACCAGCACUAGGGUUUUUGCCACCAACUACACCAACCAGUCGCUUGUCCCAAUCGAGUGGAUCAACUCGCCUAACCUGCACGCAGUCUAUGCAUGGACCCGGUAGCUUUCGUGCCUCGGUUACUUUGUACCCACAGCUCCCAGAAGGAACACGCGCCUUGCCCUCGGAAAUGUGUAACAAGUCGCAACUCAAAGUCAAGACGAUCUGCAAUGGAAAUAAGCCGAUGGACGUACAUGAUCACAGCAAACGUCUUUCCCGCCUUUUCCACGGCAAUCUCGGAGUUGUUAGGAGAACGAAAGCAAACCUGCUGUGCCUGGUUGCAAGCAAUUGGAUAGAGCUAGGAAAGCUGCGCUCCACCAUCUUUUGACCCCGACGGCUCGACGUAGGACCGACCUUCGCCUCGCACGAGCAACUGCGGAAGCCUCGGUCAGCUCCAUCCGACUCUCAUCCUCGUCACCACCAAGAGCCUAUGCUAACUCCGGCACCAACACCCCUUAUAAAUACCACGCGCUUCCCCCUUCAAUGCCAAGUCAAGCAACCAAAUCCAAACCAAGCCAAGCAAGGAGCAGGGAGCGCUGCCAAGCAAGCUUACCAAUACUGUCUCCUCCGCCUGCGUCCACCGAUCACUUCUUUUCUUUCUCCCACCGAUGGCGGCCGUGAACAAGUCCGUCGACCGGGUGGCGCAGCGCCUGGUGGCACCGGCCGAACCCACGCCUGUCGGCCCGCUCCGCCUGUCCUGGCUCGACCGCUACCCUACCCAGAUGGCGCUCAUCGAGUCGCUGCACGUCUUCAAGCCGGCUCUUGACCGGCAUUUUGACGGCGGCGACGUGGCUGGCCCGGCGAGGACCAUCGAGGGGGCAAUGGCGCAGGCUUUGGUGCAGUAUUAUCCGCUCGCCGGCCGCCUGGGAUUCACGGAGGAAGGGGGGCUGCUGCAAGUUGACUGCGGCGGCGAGGGCAGCGGCGUCUGGUUCACGGAGGCCGUGGCAGGUUGCGCGCUCGAGGACGUGGAGUACCUGGAGCACCCCAUGAUGAUCGCCAAGGACGAGCUGCUCCCGCCCACGCCCGCCCAGGAGGAGGACGAGCGCAGGCUCGUCCUGCUCGUCCAGGUCACCACCUUCGCUUGCGGCGGCUUUGUUGUCGGAUUCCGCUUCAGCCACGCCGUCUCCGACGGCCCCGGAGCCGCGCAGUUCAUGGCCGCCAUAGGGGAGCUCGCCCGCGGCAGCACGGUGGAAGGCUUGACCGUGGAGCCGCAGUGGGGCCGCGAGGCCAUUCCCGACCCGUCCGGCGCAGUCAUCGGCAGCCUGCCGAGCCCCGCGGGCGCCAAGCGCCUUGAGUACCUCGCCAUGGACAUCUCCGCGGACUACAUCAGCCACUUCAAGUCCCAGUACAAUACGGAGCACACCGGAUCCUGGUGCUCGGCGUUCGAGGUGCUAGUGGCCAAGGCGUGGCAGAGCCGCACCCGCGCGGCGGGCUUCGAGCCAGACUCCACCGUCCACCUCUGCUUCGCCAUGAACGCCCGCCCACUACUGCACGCCACGCUCCCGCGCGGCGGCGCCGGGUUCUACGGCAACUGCUACUACAUCAUGCGCGUCUCGGCGCCCGCGGGCAAGGUGUCCGGCUCCUCGAUCCCGGAAGUGGUGAAGAUCAUCAAGGAUGGGAAGAGGCGGAUGCCGUCGGAGUUCGGGCGGUGGGCGACCGGGGAGGCCGGGGCCGAUGGCGGCGUGGACCCGUAUCAGAUCACGUCGGACUACCGGACGCUGCUGGUGUCGGACUGGACGCGGCUCGGGUUCGCUGAGGUCGACUACGGUUGGGGCCCGCCGGCGCACGUCGUGCCCCUCACCAACCUGGAUUACAUCGCGACGUGCAUACUGGUGAAGCCAUGGGCGCACAAGCCAGGAGCGCGGCUGAUCACCCAGUGCGUGACGCCGGACCGCGUCGCCGCCUUCCACGAAGGAAUGCUCGACAUGAACUGACCGGAGCUGUCCGGAGAAGAAGUGAAGCCGAAGGCAAAAGGAUGCGUGAUUAUAGAGAUAGAAACAGUUGUAUUUGAUUGGUUGAUGGGUGGGUUGAUUCAUGGUGAGUCUAAUUGAAAAUGAGCAAUUGAUCCUGAAUUUGAAGAGUGAUUUUCUUGAAGUAUCAUGUGCUUAUCUUCGGUUACAAGGUACCUAAUUAAGUGUCCAUUCUCAACAAAUAAGCAUCGGCGCUCGGGGUAAAAUGAGCAUCCUUGUAAGAGUAACUCUAGAAGAUCCGAUAAACGUCCA
rnacentral:lncRNA from 1 species